UCUCUUUUUCUCUUUCUUCACUUUAGGGUAAUUUUGUUGAAAAUUAUUUUGGUCAUGGUGCACUAUAGGAUUUACACAAGUUGUUACGUGCCAAACUUUCUUUUUUUAUAUAUAGAAAAUACACUUUUUGCUUUGUGAUUGAAACUUGCAAGGGAUGCGUGGACUUGGAGAUAGACGUAAUUUCGAUUGUACCAAAGUGUUACUCAAAUUUCAAUAGCAUCAAAAGCCCCGCAUUGCAUUAACUGUUUAUACUGUACAUUUUGUUCUUAGGAUUAAUUUUUCUCAUUUAAAACAAGAACAAGAUGUUUAGCAUUGCUAAUAAAGCUCCUCUCUUUAGUUUCUUGUAGAGAGUGUAGCUAGUUUAACCCGCUUACCCAAGAUAACGAAGGAAAGUUAUAGUAGAAGCUAGAAUGUAUAGAAAAGCAUAUGCAGAAAUUUCUUAUAUUUAGUGCUUAAUUUGCUCGAUUGGAGCUUACUUACAUAGCUAGAAUGUAUAGAAAAGCAUAUGCAGAAAUUUCUUAUAUUUAGUGCUUAAUUUGCUCGAUUGGAGCUUACUUACAUACGAGGAGUGGUGGGUGACAUAUGAAAUUUCAAUGAUCCCGUUUAAACCACCUGACCAUUGAGGGUUUAGGGUUUCGGUGAGCCACUGGGAAGGGAACAUAAGCUCCUGUCUUAUUUCUAUGAAUGUAUUAACACUGCCAUAAGCUCCAAAAAAGGCUUCCUUGCUAGAAUCUCAACCCAAAUUGGUGUUCUAUGUGUAAAAAUCAUCCGAAAGAUUUAGACCACCUCUUCAUAGCCUGUCCUAUUUCUCAAGACCAACUUAGGCAUGUUUGAAAACUUUAAUUUCUUCAACGAUGGAAAAAUUGUUGAUGAAGAAACAGAAUCAUCAUUGUUCACAAUAAUGUACUCGAUGUUGGGUAAUUCUACUAGGUCAAGAUGCUUGAGAUUAGGAAAUUGAUCGAAUUUGGGGAGGUGUCGUAAUCUUUCACAAUGAUAAAGACAUAUAGUGACAAGACAAUCAAGGAACUUAGAGGAUACCCAAUUACAUAAAUUCACUCCACCAUAUCCAUCAAUAAGUAUCUUUCGAAGAUUUAAAUGUGGUUGUAAGCAAUCUAAAACACUUUCGUAGAUCACAUCCUCCAACUUAUCAUCACCAAUUGUAUGUUUCUCCCAAUGUAAUUCCAACUUGUGAAGACCAGACUUUAGUUGCAAGAACUUACCCUUCAUUUGUUGAUCAACACUACCGGUACAAAAUUCCAAAUGUUCCAUGCUUAAUGUUCCUAUUAAUUUGGUAAGUCCAUCCAACUCCUUUAACUCACCACCCUUAUUCUUUCCCAACACAAAUCUAUACAUUGUUUGAAGGUUAAUCAGCUCACCUAACCCUUUUGGCAUAUGAACGAGACUCGAACAUCCUUCCAAACUAAGAUGCUUAAGUUUGAUCAACCUUUUAGUAUUUUCUGGCAAUUUUCUUAACUUACCACAAUAAUCAAGGAUAAGUUCUUCCAACUUACACAACUCAGUAAUAGAAUCGGAAAGAUUUUAUAUUAUAAUUGUGAGAGAGAACAAGUUGCCUAAGAUUGUUGCAAUUUUUUAUAUCUUUCGGCAAUCCUUUUAAUGGACAAAAAAUAAGUUUAAGUGCUUCCAACUUACACAACUCGGUAAUAGAAUCUUGAAGGAAUUCUAAUUUAUAUUUAAGAGAGAGAUCCAAAUGCUUAAGAUUGAUCAAGUUUCCUAUAUUACUAGACAUAAUUUUUAAUCCCGAGCCUUGAAAGAUAAAUGUUUCUAAAUUGCACAACUUCAUAAUGCAAUCUGGAAGAUCUAUGUUACUAAUUGAUGAACUCAUAAUUCUCAAAUAUCUCAAAUGUUUCAAUUUACCAAUAAACUAUAAAGAGUACUCUACAUAUUCGAUUUCACCUUUCAACUGUAAGUGCAAUGCUCGCAAUCGAAAAAUAUUACUAAAGAUUAUUUGUUUGAAGUUCCAUUGUGAACCAAUUAGCCUAUAGUUCUAAAUGUGAAGAUGAAUAAAUUUUAAAACUCAAACUUAGAAGAUUAAAGGAGAAAACAUCCCAAAGAAACUCACAGAAACAAAAGGACAUGAAGUAAAUCCAAAUUUAGAAAAGUUGUAUUUUUCUUUUUGUAUGAUAUUGGCCACACAAAGGCCUCAUUUUAAAGAAUAGUAUUAUUAGUAUUACCAGCCAUUUUUCCUGACUCUCAACUCAAUAAUUGAGUUGUAUCUACAAGACUAUAGAGAGGGUGACCAUAAACCAAAUUUUGUUAGAAACUUUUUAUGACUGAAAAGUGACUCAAUAACUAGGCCUUUAAUCACUUCCAUUUGAUUCAACUUUCAAGGUCGAACCAAACCAAUCAUAAAAACUAUUGAAGGAAAAUAAAGAACCAGCCGACUUUAACCAAACCAAAUUUUGUAAGAAAUUUUGUUGAUUCUAGGCUUUAGAUUAUAAAGUUAAGAAUAUAUUUUGUGUAGAUUUAAAUAAUUAAAUUGGGUUAAUUGAGGUCAAGAGACCUUAAAGAAAACAAAGUACCAUUAGGAAAUGUUGGAUUUUAAUAACAAUAGAACUCACACCUACAAUCAUUUCUGAUCGAUCUAUAUUCACUUUUCUAUUAUCACAUUUUAAAAAGUUCUAUUUUAAAAACUCAAAUACUAAAAAGAUACCUUUGGAAAACUGAAUGACCAAAUAAGUUUAUUCUUAUAGACUUAAAAACUAAAAGAUGUUAAAAGGCAAACGUCAAAAAACUUCCUUCCAAAUUAAGGAGUAAAAAACCAAAUGAACGUAGUCAAAAACUCCACUAUCAAUGUUAAUAGAUAGUGCACUACAUAUACCUAUCAAUUGACCAAUAUAUUACAUUUAAAAAGAAAAAAAAACAAUAUUACUUGAAAGGAAAUGAAGAAAGAAUAGUCCAUUCAAGAUGGCACCCAGUUACUAUCAUCACACUCAUUUUCUUUUGCUUUUAGUUCCUUCCUCCACCUAUGCCUCUGUUUUGGAACAAAUGAACUGACUUUCUCCUUAUAUAUAUAUAGAGCACAGCUGUAAGAUUCAAAGAAACUGAACUCAAUAAUCCUUCAAUUUCACUGUUAGAGAUUUGACUUGAAAUGUACAAAUAAACACCUAAGCCAAAAGAAUUGCAUCCCAAUUAAAUUGGCAGGUUGUUAGUCUAUGGAAAAUAGAUGGAGAGCAGAAGAAAAGCAAUUAUAUCAUUACCCACCAUUUUGUGAUUGUCUGUUCUUUGGAUUUGACUUCUGUUGAUGCAAUCAUAUUGAAAUCAAUACUGAAUAUUUCCCGAUGAAAACAAACCUACAGAUCGAGUUGACAACCAUAACUAUAAGCUAAUUAUGAAAAGCAAAUCUUUGCACUUUUUAAGUAACAGAUUGACAAAAAGACUGUAUACUAACUCAACUAACAUUUGUAUGUACUGAAGUGAGGACAGGAGGUAUGUGUAGUUUAAAUCCCCACCUCGAAUUGGUAAAAAGAAAAGGGAAAGGAAGUACUUCGCUGCAAAAUCACUUGAGAAAGUGCUUCCACGCAGCCUUCUCUCUUCUUCUUUUCAAUUAUUAUCUCUAAAACCAAAAUGUAAAUAGAAGUCACUACAAACAACUGUUUAAAAAUGCUUGUAAUAUUCUAACAAUAGAAAAAAGUGGAAAUUAUUGUUACGUUGUGUGAAUUAAGAGAGAAAGCAAAGAGGUAUAUGUGUGCAUCUACCUUUAUUCUUUGGAGUUGAGGUAAUAUUGAAGUUAGGCUUUUUGCAGCUUUUAAAACCAGUAACGUAAUUUGUGCCUGUAAUGUCAUCAAUAGUUCACAGAUCAUGGAAAUGAUUGUUUAAAAUAAAGAGAAAUUUUCACGUCUAGAAAAAAUGUCAAACUAUUUAUAAAAAUAGCAAUAAAAAAAUAUUAAUAAAUAUUGAUAGACUUCUAUCAAUCUCUAUUAAUGAGAUAUAACAUCAAUGAUAGAGUUCCAUCAGUUUCUAUAACGCAUAAACACUGAAAGUCUUCUAUCAAAUGCUGAUAGGCAGACUAUCUUUAUCACUAUCUAGGUUGUAACAAAUUUAGAAAAUUUUACUAUAAGUUGUAAAUAGUUUCCAUUUUUCUAUAAAGAAAGUAAUUAUGACAGGGAAAUAAAUGUGCAUUACCUACAUCCGGUCAAUACAUGGAUGAGUUCAUUCCAAUCCUCCUGGUCUUCUUCUUCUUCUUCCUUUUGUUUCUUGUCUUGAAUCUGCAAUUUGGGACAGUUCAAAAUUCUCAAGAACCGUCCUCCUGGUAAGGAGCUGUGGUGGUGGAGAAAUUCUUGGGGCAAGGAGACUAAGUUGGGACAAUCUUCAAGACACAAACUUGAGAGUGAAGUGAGGCGAGUGAUUCCUUCUGACAAGGAAGUUAAUUUGGGACAAUUCCAAAUAAGCAAGUGUGAUAGGGAAAUGAGGUCGCCGACAUCUUCCGACAAUAUAGGUAAAUUAGGACAUCUAUCAAUUUCCAAAUGUGAUAGUGAAAUGAGUUCGCCAAUCCCUUCCGUACUCACUAAAUUUUCACAAUUUGAUAGCUUCAAAGUUUCAAGACUUGUAAUAUAUUUCAAACUCUUGGGAAAAUACUCCAAUUUGAGGAUGCUCUCAAGCCGAAGUGUCCGGAGAUUGCUGAGUUUUUUCCAUACCACAUCAUUAUCCUCAUCAACAGGAUGCGGAGAAGACAUUUGUAAACUUUUGCAGCGUUCUAUGAUAAGAGACUCAAGAUGUGUCAUAUUGCAGAAUAACUCCACUGGCAAGAACUCAAGAUCAAUAGUUCCAAUCUCAAGGAAAGAUAAUUUAGACAAUGUUGAAGAAGAAGAAGAAUGUUCAGAAAGGUCUGUAGCCAUUCGUAUUACCAUUUGAAAAAGUUGCACACUAACACCACAUAUUCUCAAUGAUUCCAAAGAUGGAUGUUGUGGAAUAGAAGCCAACAGAGGACAAUAAAAAAUACAUAAUUCUGAGAGUUGAUGUAAUAUUGUUGUUGGAAAUGAAAUUUCCCCCUUCCACCACCCUUUCAACUUAGGCAUGCUCUCAAUCCUUAGCUUCUCGAGAGAUGGAAAAAAUGUUGUUGAUGAAGAAACAGAAUUGCCGCUAUCAAUGUAUUCAAUAUUGGGUAAGUAUCCAAGAAGAAGAUGCUUGAGAUAUAGGAAUUGAUCAAACUGUGGGAGAUGCUCCAAUUUUUCACAAUGUGAAAGCUCUAUGCUAACCAAACCACCCAGGAAAUUAGAAGAAAACCAAUCACAUAACUUCAUUCCUCUGUAUCCUUUUAUAAUCAUUUUGCGAAUAUUUGAAUGUGGUUUUAAGCCCUCCAAAACUCCCUCAUCAUCAUUAUCACCAUCAUCUAAGGCAUCUUCAUGAUCCAUUUUUAUAUCCCAGUGUAAUUCCAGCUUUUGAAUUCCAUACAUUUCUUUUAAGUAGCUUACAUUUUUUAAAUCAGCAGUUGUGCAAAAUUGUAAACCUUUAAUACAUAAUAAUCCUCUCAAGCUUUUAAGUCCAUUCAAUGCACUUAAAUCACCACCUUUAUUCUUUCCUAAUACAAACAUACUCAUUGUCUGAAGGCUAGUCAUCCCACCUAAUCCUUUUGGCAUGUGAGUCAAACUGGAACAAUCAUAAAUAUCAAGAUGCCUGAGAUUGAUCAAAUUGUUAAUAUCUUUUGGCAAUUUUCUUAGCCAAAGGCAGUAACGAAGGAUAAGUGUUUCCAAAUUAUACAAUGUGGUAAUAGAAUUGGGAAGGAAAGUUACAUUUAAACCAGAAAGAUUAAGAUAUCUCAAAUGUUUCAACUUAUCAACAAACUUAGGAGGAUGACAGCAGCAUCUAUCCAAAUUCAAUGUUCGUAAUUGAAAAAGGUUCAUGUGACAAGUUUUCUUGAAAGAACGGAAAGAAGCACGACUAUCAAUAUCCAAUGUUCUCAAACUCGUUACCUCAAUGGAUGAUUUUGAUACAACUUCCCUUGUUAGCCUCUUGCUCAAGAGAAAUGAGGCAUGUCGAGUCCUUUUGUCAAUGGACCCGACAUCAUCACUUACAACCACACAUUCAUUUUCUCCUAUCGAACACGCAAGAUCAUGUAACAAAUCAUGCAUCUUACAGUACUUUAAGUCUCCCCAUUUGUUUUUUCUUAUGUCUUGAAAGAAUGACCUCCCCACUAACUCUUGAAAAUAAUCGUCACCCACAUCUUCAAUUGCCUUUUUAUUAUGUGCUUGAAUGAAACCUUGUGCCAUCCAUUGUUUUACCAAUCCAUUCUUUUUAAACUCAUAAUCCUUGGGAAACAAAGCACAGUACGUAAAACAUUGCUUCAAUUUAGGUGGAAGGUGGUUAAAACUUAUCUUCAGUAUUGGUUGAAUUUGAUCAUCUUCUUGCAAAAUUGAGUCAAGUUCGUUGUCCUUAAAUGAUGACCAAUCCAUUUCUGUGUUUUUGAAAUAUAACAGACGUCCAACAACUCUUAUUGAAAGGGGAUAACCUUUCAACUUUGCUACAAUCUCUUUACCGAUUCUAACCAAAUUUGAAUUCUCAAGCUCUUCUUCUUUGUUUAAGAAUGCCAUUUUCCUAAACAACGCCCAAGAGUUAUCCUUGUCAAGUUCUUUUAAGUGAUGGAACCAAACCGUGUCAGAAGCCUGGGCAGUUUGUAGAUUACGGGUUGUCACCAAAAUCUUACUUCCGCUGGCACCACCCAUCAGAAAUCUUUUCAGACCAAUCCAUUUCUCGUGGUCUACAUUCCACACAUCAUCCAUGACCAACAAGUAUUUUUUUCCAUAAAUUUUCUCUUGAAGCAUACUUUGUAAUAUAUCCAACUGAAGGGAUUCUUGUUUUGUUUUCGUAAUAGACUCUAAAAUCUUUUCAACAAUUACUUUGAUAUCAAAUUCUUGAGAAAUACACACCCAUAUUUUCCACUUAAAACGAUUGUUUAUUUUUUCAUCAUUAUAGACAGUUUGAGCGAGUGCUGUCUUUCCUAAUCCUCCCAUUCCAACAAUGGAAACAACUUCAACGUUAUCCUUUGUGAUGUUGCUGGUAUUCAAUAGAAAAUCCAUAACAGAUUUCCUAUCCUCAUCCCUACCAAUGAUUUCCCCCUCGGGUAUGAAUGAGGACGUCUCUCGUACCUUCCUUGGCUCAUUAUCUCGUACCUCCCUCGCACACACAGAGAGGUGAAGUUGAGCUUUAAUAGCCGCAAUAGCAUCUAGCUUCUCCCUAACUUUUUUAAUUGUUUGACCCAUUUUGAAACCAAAAGCAAUCUGAUUAGAUUUGGAGAAGAAGAUACGUACUUGUUUGGUGAUUGUUCUAUCCUUGGUAAGAACUUGUCUUCUCAAGGUUUCAUAAGAGAACUCGUCAAUCAAGUCAUCAAUGUCAUAGAAAACAUCUUUGAUCUUUGCAAUCCAAUCCUUGACUGUGUGGCUCUUGGACUGUUGCUCCUCUGCAUCGAGAAGGACGGCUUUAAUGGCCGAAAGAGUGUUUUGGAGUUUGUCGAGCUCAUCGUUGACUCCCCACAGAGACCCAAGUUCUCGAAGUGCGGAAGAUCCCAGUUUAGUAAUAACACUUGCAGCAACAUUGAACAGAACUGAAUCCGCCAUGGAUGAAAAAUGAAGGCUGAGAAGAAGAGAUUGUUAGUGUAUACGAAGGGAUAAAAACAAAAGUCUUGGUCUUAUGAACACUUCAAAGAAAGCAAAGUGAUGGCUUUCUGCAUAAAAACAAACUUUUUUAUCUUCCAAUAAUUAAGAAGCUACAAAGCAAAGCAAAGCAAACCAACUUUGAAUAAUCAAACGAAUGAUAAGAAAAAAAACUACAAUAUAAUCAUUUCAUUUUUAGUUUUUUUUUUUUAACUAAGUCCAUUUCCGUAGCAUUUUUUACAUUAUUUUUUCAAAUUUUCAAUUUUUCUUACGUUUUUUUAAUUAUCAGUAAAAAAUAACUAAUUAAAUAUAUCAAAAUUCUAUUCACUUCUAAAUUUGCUACAAUAACGUCCGUUUUAUUAUUAUGAUUUUCUUUUAUUAUUUUUGAAAAUCCCUUUAAAUAAUUUAUAAUAAAAGAACAAACCGAAAAUAACCUAAAGUAAUCUCCCGUUAGAUGGAAAGUUUUUCAAGUGUACCUAAGCCCUUCAAUUUUAAUUUUGUAUGUAAUACUUGUUUAUUUUUUAGUAGUCAUCAAAUUCACAAUUCAAAAUCCGAUUAGAUACAAUAAAUUAGACUCAAGGGUCUAUUAAAUGGCUAGGUUAAAUAUAUCGUUUAGACACAAUGGAAUUAAAAAACACUUUAAACUUGCUAACCAACGUGGUUUUGAUUUGCUUAAAUGAUCUUUUCCUUACACCUCCAUUAUUAAAAUAGACAAUCACAUCAAAUGAUUUAAUUUAGUUUUAAUUGAUUCAUAGUUUUAGGAGUAUGUUUCCUCCAACAAAAAUAAAAAUAAAAAGAAGGAAAUACAAAGUAGUGUUUAGGAAAUAGGUGAAAGAGGGAGUUUGUUUCCGGUGGCUAUGUGUCUUUGGUGCUGGGACUGCUGGUUAUUUGUUUUGUAUGUGUUUCCCCAUAAAAGAAAUUUUGUAUCAAUCAAAGGGGGAGUUUCUUAUUGUUUUAGUUGCCUGCAAAAAUCUUCUUUUAUUGUACUAAACUUUUCUUGCUGCUUCCAUCAUAGGGUGUGAUGGGUAGGCUUAAUGGUUGGUUGAUUGUCAACUUUAUGUUCUUGAUGUUCUAGGAGGUGUCUGAUUCAUGAUCAUGACUGUUUUCUAUUCACAUGUUAUUGUUCAACAUUGGUUGAGAAGUUGGAAUAUAAUCAAUCAAGUAUCAACUACUUCAAAUAAUUAUCUUCUGAAUUGGAUGUAUGCAUUAAGGUUUGAAGCUAUUUAUUUUUUAAUUGAUAAAAGAACUGAAUUAGCUUUUUUAUAUAUAACCUUACUUUUUUUCUUGUGCUUAGGAAACCAACUUUGAGAUUGUAGAAUAAUCAGUGAAGAGAAUGUUUCACCUGCAGCUGGCAUGGUUUAUUUAAUGACCUUCAAGGCUGCCUAGUGGAAUGCUUGGUGACCAUGGGACAACAACAGUUCAAGCUGAUCCAAGUGUUUGAGGGUAUUGGUGAGGGAAUAGAGGGGGAUUUUUGUUGGGCAGGGCAUGCAAUCUGGUUGAUAAUUCUUUGUUCAUCUGUGAAAACAAUAAACAACCACAAACCUCUUAUGCUGCCAUGCAUCCAAUGUGAAGAAAAUAGCAAUCGACUGUUUCCUCUUUUUUAUUUCCCCAGUACACCCUACAACAAGCAGACUUUGACUCACUGGCCAACUAUAUGAUCCUUUUUUAAUAAACAGACUUUCUUAUUAGGCAGGGUUUGGUAUUACAUAAUAAAUAAAUAAAAUAGAUCCACUCUAAAAGUUGGAUAACAAAUACCCCUAACAAGCAUUUAUAUACAUCCAUACUUCAAUAUUCCUUUCAUUUGCACUUGUCCUGUCUGCCCCCCUACUCUUUAUCUCUUGUAGUCGUAAGCUAUUUAAUUCUUUCUUUAUUUUCAAUCUUUAUAUAUAGAGCUGAGUUUAAAACUCAUUCAUGGUUGAAUUAUCUCAUUAUUAUUGGAGCUAUAAUUCAUAUAUUGGGUUGAGAUUGGUUAAUAAAUGUAAUGUUGCUCAAAAUCUAUCGAUCUAAUCGUUGAUUUUUUUCACGGAUAAUAUGAAUUUUUUUUGUGUCACCCAUCAUUCUACAAGGUAAGAAAAAAUAAUACACACUAGUACUACUUGUUACUUAGAAAGAAGAAAUGAGUCACUUUGAACAAUAAUUAAGAACUCAAACCAAAUACUAAGACUAAUGGUUAAAAGAGAACGUGAUCCAAGAACCAUGAUCAAACUAAAGAAAUGUAAUUGAGAUUUGAAUCUUAACGUGGAUUCUACCAUAACAACUUCUACGCGACCAUUAACUAAAGACCAUUAAAAUUAAAUAAACGAUAAUUGGAUAUAACUUUUUGUUUUCAUAAUUUGUUUGAAAAGUUAUGAACACAUUUCAUCAUCCAUAUUUCACAGUCAUUUGAGUAAAUUAGUAACGAUUUAAUUUUUUUUUUUUUUAAAUUAUUGAGUGAACUCAAUGAUGUCUUUGUCUCUCUCAGUUGACGAAUUUCCGGUUUUUUCUUUCAACAGUAAGCACUGAGCUGAAGCUUCCAUGGUUGACACCAACUCUUUAACAAGUAACAACGCAAUUGAAGCAUGUCGAAUUCCCAUUCCUCGAUUCUCCUUUUGAUUCUCAUCUUACUUCCACUUGCUCUAUCCCAACAAGAAGCAAUUCAAGCAAUUAUCCAUCGUUUGGAUUCCAAAGCUCUAUCUCCUUCUAUUCAGGAAGCUGCAGCCAAGGCUCUUCUCCGGCGAUUGCUUCCCACUCAUGUUGAUAGCUUCGAGUUUCAGAUUGUUUCUAGGGUACCUUUUCUUUUCUUUCCAUUGAAUUUCGAAGACUAACUUUUCUGUCAGUUCUCAAAUCUCAAUUGCAUUUUUAGAGAAAUUUAAUUGGUUGUGCAAUGCAUCUUCAAGUUUUUCAUUCUUAUUUUCCCAAUUUCUCAAAACAACGAACACCAACUUGACCGCUUUUUCUGAUUUUGUAUUUGUCAAUAGGACGUUUGUGGUGGGGGAAGUUGCUUCUUGAUUAGUAAUUUCAAGUCCUCAAGUCGCAAUGGUGCAGAGAUACUGUAAGUUGCCUCUUUUAUGCAUAAAGAUUGCUCUCUGUGAUUGAUUUACUUACACCUUUUGUAUUUAUACGAGGAAAAUAACGAGUCUAUUUUUGGCCUUUUCAUUAUGAAAUGGUCAAAAUGCUUUAAUUGUUCAGAGGACGAUAUUGUCUUUGGGUGUAAUUUUGCGGAGGCUUUAAGAAAUGAAAUAAAGCAGAAUGCAAUUAAGGGAUAAACGUUAUUUCCUCUAAUCACCACUCCACUUUCCCCCAAAUAAAGAAAUACACUGAGAUAGGAAUAUGUUAGUAUAAGAUUUUACUGAUUUGUUUUUUUUUUUUUUUUUUGGGCAACCUUCUCAAGUAUUAGAGGCACUACGGCAGUUGAAAUUACAUCUGGCCUUUACUGGUACUUAAAAUAUUGGUGUGGUGCUCAUGUUUCCUGGGACAAGACUGGUGGAGUUCAAUUAGCUUCAAUUCCUAAACCAGGAUCUCUACCCUUUUUAAAGGGCAAUGGAGUUGUGAUUAAGCGACCAGUGCCAUGGAAUUAUUACCAAAAUGUUGUUACUUCAAGCUGUAAGUGUUGAUUUCUUAAUUGUGAUUUCAUUCAACCUCUAUCUCAAGUGAUUAGUAAUGUCUAGAAUGAAAAUGAUUUCUUUGUUACAUAAUGUAUAGAAGUUAAGCUAAAAUGAAGUUCAUUUGGUGAAUCUGAGGGAGAAAACUAGAUUGAGAAAGAUGAAUACCAUGCAUGUCUUCCCCCAGCCCCAUAAAAAACAUGAUGUGUAUAAGAAGGGAUAGAAAACUGCAUCAAUGACCUUCUGGAUAUCAAUCCGUGAAAUCAACAUCAUGCUCAUCACAAUUCUUUAGUCUUAUUGGUCUUUCAUCUCUUUAAAUGAUAAGUAUAUAUACAUUUAUGCUUACUAAAUUUUCCAAUUGCUUAUUUUUAUUGAGAUCACUUAGGUAUCACAUCUUUUUCUUUUUAAGUAAUGUAAGUGAUACUUUCAUUCAUUUUUCAGAUUCCUAUGUUUGGUGGGAUUGGGAAAGAUGGGAGAAAGAGAUAGACUGGAUGGCCCUCCAUGGAAUUAACCUUCCUUUGGCCUUCACUGGGCAAGAAUCAAUUUGGAGAAAUGUUUUCAGGGUGAGCAGUUACCGAUCCCUUAUUUUAUUAUAGGCGAAUCCAAACCACCUCAGCACCUCCUCGAAAUUCAAAUUUAUUCUAGGAUUGAGAUUUCAAAUAGGUUGGAAUUAGAGAAUAGAAAGAUUUCAAAUAGGAUGAACUGUACACAUUGUAGAGUUGAAUUGUUUUGCAACUUUUAUGUAUCCCCUUAUUCAAGGAUCUGGUUCUAAUGGAUUUAAAAGUUUUUAUUUUUCUAAUACUACUCUCCUUCCGUUUUGCAUAGGCAUUUGUCAUAAGCCUCCCCAUUUUCAGUUAUGUUUUCUUUUUGACUGUUCAAAAUCAUCCAUAAUAUUUGUAGAAGAAAGAAAUAUAUGUCAUGUUCAAGGAUACUAUUUCUCACUAAGAAUUUGCCUUCAUUCAUAAUUUUUCAGUCUCUGUGUUUCUUCUCUUUCAAAAUGGAGUUCUUAGGAUCACCUUUUGUUGGUAUUAUACUAUUAUCAUAUUUUUAGUUUCACUCGAAUGAGGCUACUUGUUUCCUUUACUUGUAGGAUUUCAACCUUGCCGUCAAAGAUUUGGACAAUUUCUUUGGUGGACCUGCUUUCCUUGCCUGGGCUCGCAUGGGAAAUCUACAUGGGUGAGUGACAUUAAUUGUUCUGGAAUAUUUUUGCCUAAAAAACAUGAAUUCACAAAGACAGUAUCAUCUAAAACAUGUCACUUUACCCAGUGCCUAUGUAUUCAGUCUUGACAUAUUGUCUAUAAUUUAUGCAUUUAUGCUACAUGUAAAUAUAGAAGCACUAUGAUAGAACCCGACUUCUCAGUUGGCAAUGGAAAAGGAUACAAUAUAGGAAAUACUGUGGCUAAUGAAAAAUACAGAAGAAAAAUAAAAGCUCCCUGUCGAAGACUCCCUCUCUCCCUCGGCUGCCUUCCUAUCUCUCAAGGAAUAACAGUAGGAUUCUUAUCACCAAAAUUCUCUGCCCUCUCCCUUCCUUCUCGUCUCUAUUUAUAUUUGCUCCCUCACUCCCCUGCCAUGGUGAUCGUGCGUCGGCACUCCAUUUCCUUGUGGUCCCCACUUGCAGUUGGUUACAUAACCAACUCCUCGUCCUUUUUCUCUUUCCUGUUUUUUCUCCUACUAUACUGGCGUAUGAUGGGUGGUCUAACACACUAAUGGAGUUCACAUCCGUAUAUAAGCGUUGUGCUUUAUUAAGUAUUACCAUUCUUGGGCUCUUGUUAAUGAGAAAAGCUUCUAGCUUGUGGAAGAUAAAAAUAGGGGAGGUUUGAUUUUUGGAGACAAUAAAGGUGUUACAAAUGAGCAUGAAGAUUUUGUUUAUUUUGUGUUGUCUGUGUGGUCCUCUACUAUGGAAAGUUAUAAGUUUAUAACUUAUAGUAUUACUUAACUAAUUUUAUAUGAUUAAUUGGAAAGAUUUUGUGCGGUGAUCUUUUGGCUCAGGGUAACCUGGUCAUUCUUACUUUUUCGUAUCGUUAUUUGUUGGUCGCAAUGUUUCUUAGGACAGGUGUAAAUCAGUUACCUAAACAUUAUUUCCAACUUAUACUAUGCAUUCUAAGAUGUCUACCAAAGAUAAUCCGGUUUUCAUUGAUGGUCUCAUCUUUUCUUUCUUUCAUUCAUAUACACUAACAUUUAUCUUACCAAAGGUGGGGUGGGCCUUUAUCGAAAAAUUGGUUGGAUCAACAAUUAGCUUUACAGAAACAGAUACUAUCCCGGAUGCGAGAGUUGGGGAUGACUCCAGGUUUGCUACUCCAAAUUAUUGGUUAUGGAAGUGUUCAAGUGAUGAUAAUUUAUCAUGACAUUUUGCUUGUAGACCCUUUUAUUUAACUGAGACUUUUUUUUCCUUUCUGGUUACAGUUCUACCAUCCUUCUCAGGAAAUGUCCCAGCAGGUUUGGUAGAGAUAUUUCCCUCGGCCAACAUAACUAAAUUAGGAAACUGGUAUCCCCUUCUAAUGCCCAUGUUAUGAGAUAUGUUUUAACUUGUAAUUCUUAUGUGUUUUUGUUAAAAUAUAAGAGGAUUAUAAGUUCUUUUUUCCCCCUUAAUAUAUUAACAUGAUUAAUUUCCAGUUUUCCACUUUUGAACCUAGGAAGACAUCCCAUUACUAAAUAUAAUUUCCAUGAAUUGAAGUUUUCCAUUUUAUUUUUCCCCUGUUAGGAAUUCAAUUGAUGCUGAUCCUAGUACAUGCUGCACAUACCUUCUCAAUCCGUCUGAUCCUCUAUUUGUCAAAAUUGGGGAGGCUUUUAUCAGACAACAGAUAAAAGGUCCACUUCCAUCUGUUUGCUUUGAGUUAACAGACAAAUAAUUUUGUCACCUGUGCUCUGAUCUAAAUAUAUCUUAUUUUUCGAAAAAAGUAGCAGUCCCUUGUGGAUAUUCAUAAUUUCUCUUGCCAAUAUCAUGCAGUUGCACACUCUUUGUCAUUGGUAUCUCAUUAUGCACAAUUGUCACUAUGUCAAGAGAACAAUCAGUGUUUAUUUAUUUAGUUAAAACUAGAAAGUAAGGGACUAUUUUAAUAAACCCUUUUCUUUUUGUUAUUGGAAUUGUUGAAAAUUUGUUAUUGGAUCGGAUGAAUAGUAAAAGUUAACAUCAUUGUGCACGUUAAAGUUACUAUUCGUGAUUUUUGAAAUGAUAACAAGGAAAACAUACUAUGGAGGAAAAUAUCAUACAAAGAAACAAUUAGCAAUUAAGAGGCAAUUACAAAUGUGAGAAAAUAAAAUAUACAAAAAGUGGCUGUACAUUAUAAUUUGACAAAGAGUAUUUUGAGACUAGUUUUCAAACAAAUCCUUACCAUCUAAUUUUAUACUCGGUGCCCCUGUCUGUGUUGUAUAAAAGGAUGCAUUUGGUAGGACAGCUAUAAUUUAUUUUGUUUGAUCGUAUGAUGCUUAAUUGCUUAUCAACUGACGGCUAAACUAUCAAUGUUAGCUUUAAGUCCGUUAAAAGUAUUUCAUUUUUAUAUUUGUUUUCACGCUAUUGGAAAUUUGGAUUUUUCUUAAAAGUUGUCAUAAUAUCUUCAAGGUAUGCAUGUACUAAUACUUUUGUUUUUCAUAUUUUAUGUAUUUUCUGCAGAGUAUGGGGACGUAACAAACAUUUACAGCUGGUAACAACUAAUGUAGCAUUGAAUAAUAUCUUUAUGACGUUUUUUUCUUGAUGUACAUCUCUCUUUUUGGUGGAUAAGCACUUUCCCUUUUGAUUAAGUCACUGUAAACUAUAUGGAGUGACGUGUUGAAACUUCACUUUUUGUACAAGAAAAGAGGUCAACCAAGAAGCUUUAUUUUGUACAAGAUUACAGAAGGUGUCAAAUUGAAGAAACUUGUCCUGAAAAAGAUCUGUAAUUUCAUUUGGUCCAUAAGUUCCACACCAGCCCUCUAGUGGGCACAGCUAGUCAGCUAACUUUCCCAUCAUGUUCCAACAGUUAAAAACUUAAGACCUUCAAGGAGCCAGUCAUCAACCUUUAGUAAAACUAUUCAUUCCAGCGAAGAACUAGAAGUAUUCCUUAUUUCCAAAUGAGGACCACUAGGCUUGUUUUUUAGGAACUUGUUAAAAUAAAGUACUAUAAUUUAAGAGGAGAAGAUCGUGCGAUAGGCGUUUAACCAAAUAAGAUCCAUCUUGUUUAUUUUCCAAGAUCCAAUGAUUAUUGCAAUAACUUGAUUGUGGUGGAAGCUCCUUCAUUUUCCUUAUUUAUUUUAUCUUGCUGCCUUAGAUAACUGAAUGAUAUGUAUUCUGUUCAUUGCAGUGAUACAUUCAAUGAAAAUACUCCACCUACAAAUGACACCUCAUAUAUUUCAUCACUUGGAGCUUCUGUCUAUAAAGCUAUGGUGAAAGCUGAUAAGGAUGCUGUGUGGCUCAUGCAAGUAUGCUCCUCAAGCAAUGAACAACAUAUUUCUUAUGGAUCAUGUUUCAACCAAAACUUUUGUAUAUACUUAAUUAAUUGACUAAAUAUGCCGGUAAAAUUUGGAAUGGUUUUCAGGGCAACAAAUAGGAAUUGAGGGUCAGUUCUAGGGUUGAGAACACUUUUAACUUUAGAAUAGAAAAACUACAGAAGUUUCACAUAUUUGAGUUAUUGAAUUGAAAAGUGACGGCGGAUAAGUUACAAUGUAAGCAAAUACUGAUAAGUGCUGUAUAACAAGAGAACUAUAAAAGAGCUUUGCUUGACAGCAGGCUGUAAUUAAAUGUCUUAGGAGAUGGUGAAAGAGAAGGUGGUAUUUGGGUGUAUCAUAUUUUGUAUAGAACGCGGACUUACAAAGUUGUGUUUAAAAAGUAAUUCCUACACGAUGGUUACUGAUAUAUGGUGUAUUUAGUCUGACUAUUCUGUAAUUGGAUGAGGAUGGUGUACUUUUGAUAAAAUGGUGGACAAUAUUCCUAUGGACCAAUUUGACAAUGGUUUUGUUUUGUUUACCUGUUUUCAAAAUUUUUGCUUGUAUUGUAAAAUUUUCUGUGUUAUUUUAAGAUAGAAAUCUGAGAUUUCAUUGAUAAAUGUAACUAUAGGAUUACUAUUGGUGAUUAACAAAAAAGAUUUCCAAUCAUUCAAAAGAGUAGAAUGAUCAGUCAACGGGUGUGGACAUUUAUACCAAUUUUAAGUAUUAAAAGAGUUUGUUUAAGGAAACUCUUGAAGAUUCUCCAUUUUGUUUCACACCAAAGUGACCAAAGAAAGAGCGAUCGAUAGCUUCCAAAUUUUCAGUCAGUCUUUUAUUUUCAAAAUCUUGUUUUUAUUUUCGAAAUUUAGCUUAAACUUGAAAUGUUAUUUUAAAAAAGUGAAAAAUGUAGGAAAACAACAGAAAGCCAAAAACAAAAGAACUAGACUCGGACUGUUUUUUUUAGGUUGAGUUUUCAGAAUAUUCAAAUCUCUAGGGUGUUUAUGCAAAUCAGAUUUACCAAAUUUUAAUUUGAUGAGUUUCGUUUUCUAUAUUUGAAUUAAAAUUGAUUGUUCCAUCUCUGUGCAGGGAUGGCUCUUCUAUUCAGACUCUGAUUUUUGGAAGCCUGAUCAAAUGAAAGUACGUAUGCGCACAAGCGACAUAGAAUUUCUUAACAUUCAUUGUUAAUUCUUACUGAGUUACUGGCAAAGGAUGUACUUGAUCUAAAUAGUCUCGCCCAGUCCCCACGUCUCUUGUUUAAAGUUGUACAGGCGUUUAGUUAUGUGGGAUAGUUGGAGUUUGUGAGUGGGAAUUGUUAAGUACCAGUGAGUACAAAUUAGGGGAGGGUAGGGAAAUGAGGUUAGGAAAUAUUUUUGUACAUAGAAAGAGAUACCGUUCCUGCUUGAAAAUAUUGGUACUUCUCAAAUGGUUCCAAAAGUAAACCGUUCUUGAGAAUGAAUCUAGAGUUUGGAAUACUAUUGGAGUGUCAUUGUUUUCUGAUGGAAAUGAAGGAUGUCUUGGUAUCCAUGAAUUGGAAGAAAACAAUGGCCACAAAACCAACUUAGAGAAGCUCUAAAAGUAGGAUGAAUCAAACACAAGAAAUUAGAACCCAUCUGCUUGCAACAUGGGUUGAAGGGGUGGUUGAUGUCAAAGGUCUAAGCUAAAAAAAAAGGACUUAGUAUCUAUGGUCUACAGGUUUCUUAUUGCACCAAAAUGGUCUUUUUAAUAAAAAAGUUUACAGUUGGGUUACGUAAUCUAUUACCAAACUAUCAAAAUAACUCUUUUUCUGGCCUUUUGGUUGUCUCACAAUACCACUUAUUAGCUAUGGUUUUAUGGGGUUUGCAGGCACUACUUCACUCAGUCCCAUUUGGGAAAAUGAUUGUUCUUGAUCUAUUUGCGGAUGUCAAGCCAAUUUGGAAAUCAUCAUCUCAAUUUUAUGGUACACCCUACGUAUGGUCAGUAACCUCUUUAUUACCGUUUUCAAGGAAGCUAUGGAACGUCUCGAUAAUGUCAUUUCUGUACUUUUUUUUUCACAAGUUCAAUAAGAAUUUAGUUUGACUUCAGGUGUAUGUUGCAUAACUUCGGUGGAAAUAUAGAAAUGUAUGGUAUAUUGGAUGCAAUCUCUUCAGGUCCAGUCGAUGCUCUUGCAAGUGAAAAUUCAACAAUGGUACAUUUAGUUUUGUAUUGUAUAAUUUACUGUUGUCAUAUAUACGUGAUGCAUGUAGCACAUAAACUCCUAUGAACAUGCAGCUAACUAAUAUUUCUAAAAGAACAGACACUGUUUUCGUUUGCUGUAUGUCUUGUAGACCAUAGUUCUCUUUUUCUUGAUUAUCAAUGAAUUGUUUCUCUUACCAAAAAAAGAAUGGUUCUAUUUUUCUUGAUUAUCCCAUCCAUACAUGUGAACUAAGAUGUAAAGAUUGGGAGUCUUGAUAUUUUAUCCUGUUACAAAUGGUGUUUUCUCCACUAUGGUAGGUUGGUGUUGGCAUGUGUAUGGAAGGAAUAGAGCAUAAUCCGGUUGUUUACGAAUUGAUGUCUGAAAUGGCAUUUCGCAGCAAAAAAGUUCAAGUCCAGGUAAUUUGCCCCCAAUGCCUUUAUAUAGUCGAGGUGUUCUUGAUGUUUAGCGAUUCAAAGCAUUAUGCAAUGGUUGGGCAUGUAAGCACAACCUAAGCUGGUGCCCUCGAACAAUCUAUAAUCCUGCUUAUUAGAAGACUCUAUACAUGAAUAUCAUUUGUUCGUUUAUAAACUAUAACUGGAGUGUAUUUUCUGGAAUCAAACAAAUUGUUCUUUUGAUCAAAUUUAUGUUUUUGUGUGUACUUGUAUGUUGCAAUCUGCAUGAUUCAGUGAGAGAAUUUGAGGGAAUUAUAGAGAAUGACAUGGUUCAGAGCCGUGUCUUAACAACCAGGAGACAAAAAUGUGAAGAACCACAAUAUCUUAAUUUGAUAGAAAAAUUGCAAUAAUUUUAAAGAUGAAGAUUCAUUCAAAUUUUAUCAUAUCAUGGAAGAGUGUCAUCUUGUAUCUACUUCUCAUAUUAUUCAUCCAUGACUUGUUUUUGAAAUUAAGCAGUUCUAAACAUUUACAAUAAUGAGUCCAUGUUCUUACAUUGUUACAAAUUUGAUUUUUCCAUAUAAUUGGAUUUUUAUUAACGUCUAUAAAAUAACUCUAUGAUGGAGAUGAUGCUGACCAUAAUGAAAUAUUGUAAUAUCUUGUAGGAGUGGUUGAAGACCUAUUCCCGUUGUCGUUACGGCAAAGCAGAUCAUUAUGUUGAUGCAGCUUGGAAUAUUCUUUAUCAUACAAUUUACAAUUGCACUGAUGGCAUUGCGGUAUGUCAAGUUGAGACAUAAUGUUCAGAAAAGAAAAUUGUUUUGUAUAAUUAUAAGAAAUAACUUUGAACAUUCUAAAAAAGCUUUAAAAGUAUUUUUAGCAAGAUAACUUAAUUAAUGUUUUUCCCAAUGUCAUCCAAACACAUUAUGAGUAAAUUCUGCUGUUUUUUAAAUUAUGGAAAUUGGUAGCUUUGCCUAAAAGUGCCAUCAAAAUUACGUAAGUUUUUAGACCGCUACUAUUUCUAAUUCAAGAGAAUCAAUUGGUUAACACAGGAUGAAUGUACCCUCCAAUUUUUUCUUUACUGGAUGCGUUUCAUUUGGUGAUUAUUGCUUGAAGAUUUAUUAUAAGCGAGAAAUGCCCAACUGCAGAAUUGAGUUUUAUGAAAUUAUUGUGUUCUUUUUUCUGCUUUAUGGCUAUUUACUGAUCCGUUCCUUUAAUUUUUUUUCCAGAACCAUAACACUGAUUUCAUUGUCAAACUGCCUGAUUGGGAUCCAUCUUCAACUUUUGAUCUGAAAAAACCGCCACAUCUAUGGUAUUCCACUCAGGAGGUUAUCAAUGCCUUGCAGCUACUUGUUAAUGUAGACGAUAAUCUCGUCCACAGCGCUACAUAUAGGUAAGAUGGCACAUUUUCAUAUGCAUAUGAUCGAGUCUUAAGGAUGAGGAGUUAGUAUGUUUUACAAUACAGUUCUAGUCAACCACUUCACAAGUUUCAGAUAAGUUUCUAAGCAACAUGUUCAUAGAGAAGCGUUAUACGAGCCUCAUUCUGAAGAUAUGAUCAGUUAGUUUACUCUAUUGUUGCUUGUAAUUGAACAGAUAUGACUUGGUUGACUUAACACGGCAAGUGCUAGGGAAACUGGCAAAUGAAGAAUAUUUGAAGGCUGUAACUGCUUUCCGACGCCAGAAUGUGAAGGCUCAAAAUCUUCACAGCAAGAGGUUUAUUCAAUUAAUUAGAGAUAUUGACAAACUACUAGCUUCUAAUUCAAACUUUCUGCUCGGAACAUGGCUUGAAAGUGCAAAGAAGUUGGCAACAAAUCCAGCUGAGAUGAAGCAGGUUAGGAAUUGCCUCUUUCUAAUGGCAUGAAACUUACAGCAUACUGCUACUCUUUUCUUAUCAACCUUUCCAUUUGCUAACCUUUGUUUUAAAAAGUAUGCUUACUUCCCUUCAUUUUAUUAUAUUUGCUAUUACGGUAAAUUCUUAGCAAAUUUUGAAAACAAAAAAGAAUCUCUUUUAAUUUGGCCUACAUAUUCAAAACAUUUUUUAAAAAAGUAGACACAGCUAAGAAACACGGAAGUGGAAGUAACAUUUGUAAUCUAAAAAUCCAAAAAUGACCAUAUCGACUUUUUUUCUGCAUUCUAUUUGACAAGAUCUCCUUUUUUUUUCCUUCUAAUUUAAUCUUAUUUAUGAAUUUGUUACUGUUUUUUAUUCUCUCUCUCUCUGUAUAUAUAUCGGUUGUCAUUCUACAGCAUUUCUUUUCUUGGUCAAAUUUAUUUAACCUUUUGAAAGCUCUUUCGAUAGUGAAACUCUAAUAUUGGAUUGGUACUUUAUUAAAAGCAACAUUUUCUUAUUGUUGCAAUAGCAUGUCUUGUUUUCCAUUUUAUAAGUUGAUUAUGAAAAGCAAGCUCCAAAUUUUCUAUCCUUGGUUCAGUAUGAAUGGAAUGCAAGAACACAAGUAACUAUGUGGUAUGAUAACACAAAAGUCAAUCAGAGCAAACUUCAUGAUUAUGGUAAAUAUUACAUUUCAAUCCUGCUAUAACAUGUUAUUCUCCCUAUUUUCCCUAAUUCAAAUUAACAUGUUUUGUGCUUCUUAUCAGCAAAUAAGUACUGGAGUGGGCUACUGGAAGGUUACUAUCUCCCAAGAGCUUUGACCUACUUUUAUUACCUAUCAAAAAGCUUGAGAAAAAAUGAGAGCUUCCAUUUGGAAGACUGGAGAAGAGAAUGGAUACUGUUUUCAAACAAAUGGCAAGCUGCUUCAGAGCUUUACCCAGUUAAAGCUGAAGGAAAUGCAGUUGCUAUUUCUAAAGCCUUGUAUGAAAAGUACUUUGAUUGAAACAAUUUCUCAAUGUUCUACCAAAAGCAAACAUGGUAUGACCAUUUCAAUUCUUAGUUUUUUUCCUCUUUCCAAUAUCAAAGAUUAUUGAUGGUCCCUUGCCAGUUGUUUCUGUUUUGCAAUGAGACCCCUUUAUGUACUCUAAUGUUCCGUCUCUGUUUCCAAUAAUCUGUCAUAAUAUCAUUAGUCCAUGUCAAAGAUGAUUCUUUCUAUAAUUUUUGAAUCUUCAUAGCUCUCAAGUAUCUUUCAUCAUGUAAGUAUCUAUGUUCGGCAAAUUGAAAGGAAAACAAUAUACAACACUUGGGUAUUUCCUUUGAACUACCUCUACAAAAAUUUGAAUGUGAAAAAAGAAUUUAACCCAAAAAAGAAAAACUUGAGGAAAUGAUAUGGCUGCAAAUUGCACUAUCAUUUAUACAUUCAGAUUUCGAGUAUUUUCAAUUCUUAUACCAGCUCUUUCAGUAGCGGGUCGCCUGCAGCCAUAAGCCUCAUAAGCUCAGCAAAUUCCACUUCAUUGGAAACCCGCCAUGGAUGAACAGCAGGAACUUCAGCAGCAUACAAGUUUGUAACAUUACUCAACAGUUCCUCUGCCGGUAUCUUCUUAUAAACCAUUCUGCUGAAAAUGUCGUCGAAAUUUAGGGGUGAAUCCAUUGCCAUGAAGAACAUUGCCACAGCUACUCUGUAAUCAAUCUUGUAGUUACCAACAAGAGCUACAAGAUCCGUGAAGUCUCCCACAAACAUCCGAGGUACGUAAAACACUUCACUGUUGCAAAUUGUGAGUCCUUGCUCGGUUGGGUUACUUUCCUUAUAGUUGACUUGAAAAUGAACAGGCAUUGUGCUCACUACCUUCUUCACCCAGUCUGCUUGUUUAGCAAACAAGACAGAAUCAUCACUGACUCUGGUCCAAGAUUGAGGGACCUGUGAGAAAGAGAAACAAUUAUAGAACUCUUCAACUCUUCUACAAAGCAAGAGAGAUACAACUGAGACCUGCAUCAUACCUUGUAAGUGAUCCAAAGUUUAUCUUUAUCUGCUUGCAGUAAAUUCCAAUAGUUGAGAAUGGUGUUAUCUUGGAGGAACAAGAAUCCUUCUGCAUUAGGAAAUCUUUCAAAUACCAUGGGCAGGUACCUAUAAAAAGAGAAUUAAUUUGUUGAAUUUAUCAUUCAUGAACUUUUCUAAAUAAAUAUUUAGUCAUUCAUUUUAAUUAAGAAUCCUUUCUUUUUAAUCUGUCAUCAAACUAAACCUGACUAAAAAAGAGUAUACAGACAUUAAACAUAUUGUAGGCAAAAUGACCAAUACCCCGUUUUCCCAUUAUUUGAAUCUAUUUGGUGUAUAAACAUCAUAUCACUAUUUUUUUAUGUAUUUAUAUCAGUUUUUAAAUAGAUUCUUGCAACUUUUAUUUAUCUUAUUUUGUAAUUUGUGUUAUCAAAAAUAAUUCUACUAACUUACCACAUAUAUUAAAUAGUUUCUCUUAAAAGUGGUACUCUACAUCUAUACUUCGACUAAAUAAAUAUAAUAGUUUGUAACUAAAUUACAAAAGAAAAGGCUCUUGUACAUGAACUUAAAAUUCCUUUUGCAAAACACCAUUAGAUUAACAUUUAGAGCUAUAUGUUUUAGAGCCUUGUAUGAAAAGUAAUUUGAUUGAAACAAUUAUUUAAAAAUCAAAAUGAACAACUUUUUAUUUAAAAGAAUCAAAAUGAAUAAACUGUUACGAAUUGUAGUUACAAAGAAUAAAUUAUAAAUUGUUACAAUUUUGAAAAUGAAGGGACGAAAUUGUUUUUUAGGCAUUGGGACCAAAUUCUUAUUAGACUAAAUUUCUAUUUGGGUUAUUUUUUAAAUAAAAUAAAAUAAACCAAAACAUUUAUAAAAUAGGACAAAAAAAAUUUAGUUAGAUACCGCAAUAGAUUAAAAUAGACUAUUAUUUGUAUCAUAAUAAAUACAUAUAUUAGUCUAUUUUGGUCUUUUUAGGUUUUUGUUAUAUUUUUGCUAUAUUUAUAAGUAAUUUUACUAAUUUUUUAUUUAAAAUAAAUUUUCUAGUUAUUUUAUCAGAAAUGAUAAAAAUUGGAAACUACUUACUUGUAUAUGAACUCCAAAGAAAUUAAGAAAUCACUAAAAAAAAUUAAAUGAAGAAGAAUUUUCCACAUAAUUUUUCGUGUUGGAAAUUACUUACUUGUAUAUAAACUCCAAAGAAGCUUCCUCCACUCCCAAAUCUUCCCUGCCAUGUUCUGCCACAACCACCACAGUUUUGAAAAUCCUUCCAUAAAGCAAUUUCCAUUUCAUGGCAGUUCUCUCCACAUCUCCAUUUUCAACAAACAAAACCAUCACCACAUUACCAAAUUUCUUCCUCCAUCUAAUCAACUUCCCUAUCUCAAAGUUCACAGUCUCAGAUUCUUCCACCCCAAGAUGAAAACCAGGCAAUUUUUUAGGAACAAAACUCCUUCCAUCACCAAUCCUUCUUUUCCUCUGUUUCUUCAUUUCAAAUCCCUUCAUUCUUGGUUGAAUAUACCCAACAGAAAUCAAAUCUUGAAGCCAAGCUCCAAUCAGUUUCACAUCGUUCUCCUUCCAAAACCCUUCCUCUUCCAUUGAAUUACUCAAUUCCAUUACCUUCUCAAAGAACGUGGCUUUGUUUGAUGUCCAUGAACUCAAGAACUUCACCAAUCUCCCUACAUUCACAUGCAAGUCUUUCUCUUCUGAAAAUGGAUAUCCUUCAAUGUCAUCAUAUCUAAACAUUGUCGGUGGAUAAACCGCUACGAAACCUCCUAAUUCCCAUAAAAGUCUUUGUGCCCAAUAACCCCUCAAUAUAUCACAAGCCAUUGUACUAACAGAAACAGGAAGCAUAAGAGCCCAUAAUGCUGAAUUAUGAAACAAAGUAUUGAAAGAGUUUAAUGGUACCAUCACCCCGUGAGGUAUGGCGACUUUCGGUGCGUGGUCGUCGAAUCUUAUGUCGAAUGCCUGGGAACUUGUCUUUCGAGUGAAGUAAAACACCGAAUCUACAUCUGGUAAACCAUUGGAUAUGCCUUGUUGAAUGAACUGCAUUCCUCCAAAUACUUGGCUGUAAUGUUCUUCAUACAAAACAUCUCCUACAUUCUCCAAUGGCAGCCCUCUAGGCCAAACCGAUCGCUGUCCGAAAUGAAUAUAUGGAUUCACGACGGUUUUAUUCGGGUUCUCAAAAUCAAACUCCAAGAUUCUCUCCUGCAGUGUGUCUACAUUGGACAAUUUCAAAUCAAAAUGCUUCCCAAGAUCCCCAUCAAUCACUUCACCCCGAUCAUCUGCAUCGAAUAUCAUUUUCGCGCCAUGUUGGAUAGCGAAAAGAUAACCAACAGUCUUUCUAGCAUAAGAAUCAUAAGAAAGAAAAUCCACAACUCUAAAUCCUAAGCUAGAUUGUUCCUCUAGAGACAGGUAUAUAACUCCCUUAAGACUCCAAUCCGAUGGAGUUCUAGAAUUCCCCACAGCUAGUACCUGCCAUCCUCUGGUUUUCGCAAGCUUUCGAAGCGAAUCAGAAGGAUAACUCGAAACAGAAACAACAAUCCACCGAUCAGAGCUAAAGGAAGCGUAACUUGAGGAUUUAUCGACAAGGGGAUGAAUCGAAUCGAAGUUGAUUAUGGGCAAAUGGGUGAGUUGAGAGGGUUUAGGGCGAGAGUUGAAGCAGAGAAAUGCAGCAGAAUCGGGAGCUCCUCGGAGGAAGAAGAAGGAAGCGAUUGUGAGGGUAAGGAAGAAAAGGGUAGCGAGUUUGAAGAGAUUGAGAGAGACCCAGUUGGAGAAAUCGAAGGGUUUGGAUUCAGGGAAGGGAUUAGCGAGUGGGAUUUGAUGGGGUUUUGGGUUUUGACGAUCUUGAACCAACAUGGUAAGUACUAAAGUACUCAGGUUUUGAGCUCUGUGGAGUGAGUUUUGAACUCAGAGAGCCAAAAUAGAAAGCUCAAAAUGACUGAAAUGGAGAAGAAAACAAAAACAUAGGGAGUGAUCUUUGUGCGUUUCUUUCUUUCAUCUCAGAGCUCCAGCCGACAGUGGCCAACUGAUAAUGCAGACAGAAUUGGAUCAUUGAUGGGUUCUUUUUCUUUUUUUAAUUAAAAAGAAAUUAGUUUAUUUGAAAGGAACUGAAAAUGAAACAGAUGAAAGAUGAGGAUGAAGGAUGUUGAGGGGCAAAUGGAAAUAAUUGAAAAAAGUGAGUGAGGAUUUGCGAUUUGGACAGCCGCCCUUACCGACAGAGAGAGAAACUCUCGUGCUCUUUUUUUACUCAUCAUCUCAUUUCCUUUCCUUUCAUCCACACACUUCACAUACUUCAACUUCCUACUAUUAAAUUCAUAUAUAAUAUAUAAUUGUAAAGCCAACCAGGCCAUUCUUACCACCUACGACAACUAUUUAGUCUCAACUUUAUUUGAUUUGGUUUAUCAAAUUACUUAGACACCUUUUCAGGGAAUAUCAAGGUAGGAAGAUCAUCAUGGACUUGAUGACAAAUGACGUAACAUCCCAGUUUAAAGGGUUAAAAGAAUAUUUGGAAAAGACUUAAAAUAAUUGAAAAUCAUUAUCUAUACUAACAAAAUGCAAUUUUUUUUUUUCAACAACUCAAUCCUAAGGACUCCAAAGUGCAAUAUUUUCUUUCAACAACUUAAUUAUAAGUUAGUAUAAGUAUACAAGCAUGUGAGUUAAAACAAAGCAUCCUAAAAAGUUUUAUAUUAAGCCCUUAAAUGCCAAAGCAUCCUAAAAAGUUCUAUAUUCUAUAUUAAGCCGUUAAAUGCCAAAUCAAUCUAGGUAUGAGAUAUUACGAAUUAAUUAACCAUUUUACAUUUUGUGAGAUGCACCUUGUGUAACAAGUAAUGGUAUAAUACAACUUAUUAUGAAAGAGUUAAAUACAAAUAUGAUUUAGGACACAUGAUGUGACUAGUCUAUACAGCUUAACUAAUCUAUCCUAACCCUUAUACUUUUAUUCGGUUGGAGUCGACCCAAAUACGACCCCAUAGAAAUGGUUUAGAAUGAAAAUAAUGAAACAAAAGUUAAGUCAAGUAAUGAAACAAUAAGUAAUGUUGUUGAUUGGAGGGAGUAUCAAAAGUGUAAACACCGUUAAAAAGUGAUAGAUCAACUUCUUUCUUGUAUUAAAAGAUCAGUAACAAUACAAUUAGAAUAUCCAAUAUAUUUCCCCCCACCAAUUCCUCUAAGAACCUUUUUCAUCAACAAAUUAAUUUCUAGAACUAAAGUCCCAGAUUAAUAGUGAAUCCUUCCAACGAUUAGACAAAGUGGGCUGACCUUGAUUUCUAUGAACAUCUUCAUCUCUUUUAACUUUAUUUUUAUUUUUUUUACUCUAUCUCCCUGCUUCCUGCUUCCUGCUUCCGUUUACUUUCAUGCGUUCUUCUUCGUCGAUGUUGUCGGAUCUCGAAUCGAGUUCGGAAUCAAAUUCAUCUUCUCAUCAUCCCUUCCACCCACUCCCACUUGGCUUUCUUCAUCAUCUUUCAAAUUAGAUCUAUGUUCAUCAGCAUGUCGUCCAUGUAGUCAUAAAAUCGCUUCUUGGAUACCGAGCUUGCCGUUAAGGUACAAUUGUGUUGGAAGAUCACAUUUGUGAAGGCCUGAGACAGCCUCUGUUUGUGACAAAGACAAUGAUCCUGUUAGAGCUAAUAAGGGUUCUAACAAGAAUGAUUGGCCAUCACUUUUUCUCUCCUUAUCUUUCCUCAUUUCUUCCAACAAAGCAUUGCUUGUGUCUAUGCCUGUUUAGAUUGGUCAAUAAAAGAGAUUAUCAUCCGGAGAACAUAUGCUAGAAACAUGUAAUAAAGUUUCCAAUAAAAACAAAUUAAACAAGUUAAUUAGUAGGUGUUUCACAAACCUGCAAGAUAUCCACCAUGUACAUAGCCAUUAAAUCUUUCGCUUGUGUGUUCUCCAGUGAAGUAGAUGCGUCCAAUGGGUUCCUGGAAACGACACACCCAUAAAGGUUAGAUAUUUGACCUAACGUAGAAUUUGUGUUUCUAGUAUAAUUCAGACCUAGUUGACACAAGAGGUUAUGGUUCAUUUGAAUUUACUUACUAAGUUCUUAAAAACACUUUUUUCACACACCCGAGGAUUUAAACUUACUAACAAAGUAAAACUAACAAGUUUUACUACUCUAAACACACUACAUAAUUAAUUUGUCACGUAUUCAAGUUCGGUCCAUAUAUGCUUAUUUAAGGAAAUAUGUUAGUUGUGUGUGCUUGAAACAGUUUGGUGGUGGAAGCGGCUCUAUUCACAGGCUUCUACAUCAACAGCAAGUAUUUCUACUUUCGAAGUGGUUAGAGAGAUCAAUCAAUCAAUCAUGCAGUGAGUUACAAGUUAAAACUUGCACAUAGUGAAAUAGGCAAUGAACCUUAAUGUUUUGAACAACUUGGCAAUCGGAGAUGAUGGGGUAGUUACUGUAGCUACCACGUUGAAACCUGUUACUCCACCAGCGAGGAACGAGUAUGUCAGUAGCAUCAGGGAUAUCUGGUCCAAACAUAUCCCUAAGCACUUCCAUGGAUUCUUUCAUUGUCUCUUCAUCAGAUUGAGCUUCGACUCUUUUCGAUUCUCCAUUUGUAACGGUCACCACCAGGAUAUUGGACCCAGGAUAGGCGUUCUCCAUGUUCUGAUGUUAUCAUAAGAUAGUCAGUUUCACAGUAGUUUGAUUAUUAAUCCAUAGCAUGUCAUAGUAGAAUGAUCGAGUAGCAAAUGCCAUAACAUUGUCAGACUGGAGUCAUGGAAAUACACAAUACGUACUCCGCCAAUCAAACAAAUUGAUAUCCUUAUAUUAUUAUAGUUCCAUCAUUCAAGAUUUAGUGUUCGUGGACAGAUAUUGACAGCUGCGGUAGCUGACAACUGUAUCAACAAUAAAAUGGAAAAGAAUUAAGCAUAAAAGAGACUGCCAAAAUUUUAUCUUCGAGAAACUUAAGCACCGUAAAAAAUCCUGCAUCCUAGUACAGGUCGAUAAAGUCGAAUAAUGAAGGUGUUCUCAAUCACCCAUUAAAACAAGAUAAUCAUAAUAAUCAAUUGUUCAAGAAUUACUGGUAUUGAAUCAUCUACAAUAGAGAUAGUAAUAAAUGCCUUUAUCUGACGAGUUAAUCUUGAAUUGAGCUUAUUAUAGCUCUUAAUAUAAAAUAAUAUGAUAUAAAUUAUAUUAUCCCAUGUUGUAUUUUAAUGUGUAGAUUUGUGAUUUGAGAAAAGUAUUUUAAAAUUUUGAAUCCACAUACUAAAUAUAGAUAGUUGACAACUCAAAACUAAAUCAAUCUAACUAGAGGGUCCAACGCGAUGACAUCCGUAUUCUGAAAACCAAUGCUACAAAACAAAUAUACAAGAUGAUAUGCAAUCCAAUGAUUAAGAAUUAAAAAAAUACGAGAGUUGAUAGGUUGCAUGUGACCCACGUGCACCUGAUGCACGGCUCAUUAUGAAAGUACUUCCAACCGUAUAAUAAGUUAAUAAUGAUACGAGUAAACUAAUAUAAAAAAAACCAAACAUAUUAAAAAAUAUCGAUGCAGAGCACAUAGGUCACACGGCUACUACUAGUUCAACCUAAGACCUGGCUGGCUAUCCCCGUGGGCUAAUAUUUGCAAGCAUCCAAUUUUUCUAGCUAAGAAGACUUUGUUUAUUCACUUUCUUUUUUGGAUAAGUAGUGGCGAUGAGAUAAGUGUUAGCUGGCAACAACAACGAGAUUUAGCAAAUAUAUAUAUUUAACGAACCUGCCAAAACGUGUAAUAGCCCCUUCUUUCAUGGGCGUAAAUAAAGAAUUCUUUUCCGGGUCCGCACGGCCAGAACUUAUAUGGGAACUUGAGGAAAAUCUUUGUAUACACCAUCACGUCACAUUUCUCUAUAGCCUCUGUUUUCCACCUCUGUUUCAUUAGAUUUUAAACCAUCAUGUUUAGUUAAUAAUACCAAACCCCACAGCAACAUAGAAAUAAAACAUUACAAGGAGGAUCAGCACACAGAAACAGAGGGGCCAAUGGUUCAGUCACAAGUGGGUAAUUAACCAAGAAAUGUUUAAGUAUAUGAUAAAGACUUGUGGGUUUAAUGCAUAUGCGCAUACUGUACUCUAUAGAAAAAGAGGUAAAAGUGUAAAUAAAAAACCGAUCACGUGUAGAUUAGACACACACGCACAGAGGAUAUGAGUCACAAAAUGCAAAACUGGGGAGAUGAUGCAUGGGAGUCGCACAUAGACACAUUGGGAAUCCGAUUCUUACGUCAUGAGUCAGUAGGAGGCCUUGCCAUUCCAUAAAUUCUGACCCACUAAAUGAAAAUUAAAUAAUGGACCAGGCCAUUUAGAGAUGUAUAUCAAGAGAAGUCAAGUCAGAACGAAAAUCCCACCACCUUACAGGACGGACAGAGCCCGAGAGAUAUUUAUUGUGUUAUGAAUAUUGAAAGGUCAAGAUUCUCCCCCACCCAUCUUAGGUCUCUCAAUAGAGGUUCACAAAUCAAGAGGCAACAGAUACGACACGUCGUCAUAAAUUAUAGGGGGCAUUCUUGGUCUUGGUGGGGGCGAAAGUCAGAGAGUGAUUAGUAAGUAGUAUAGUCACAAACAACAUGGAAUAAAUAAAAGAAGAAAACGUACGGGUAAAGGUGGAGUGAAAGAAAUGAGGUCGCUUUGGAGUACACCAAUGCUAACGGACAAAACCACAUAAUUGGCUUCAUAGAUACAUCCAUCCUCCGUUGUUACAGUAACCCCGUUUCUCGAGUGUUGUAUUUCCCGAACAACCUGCAUAAAAUGAUGCAUAAAAUUUGUCACGAAGAACAGAAACAGAUAAAAAUUUUGUCACAGCAGUCAACUCCCACCCAAAACCAGAACCAAUUUUUUUAUUUGGGAAAGAUUACGGGGAAUCUUUGCUCAUUUAAUGACUCAUCACAACCCAUUUAUGGCUGCUAUCCAAAAAUCACAGUGAUUACUAGUGAAGCAGGACGAUGAUACAGGGGAAGCUUCCCACAUUUACUGCAAUUCGCAUCAGAUUCGUUGGGCAAUAAAGGGAACCAAAACAACAGCCCCAUUAAAUGUAGAUAUUGACUAGACUCCCCACUUUCAUGUUUUUAUUUGAGUUGAUUUGACAUCUCACCCCAUGGGUUAUUGUUUAUGGUCAUAAAAACCACUGUGCAACCAAAUGCAAAUUGAUAUUCAGUGACCCUACUAAUUUAAUAAUGGUAAAAAUGUUUUCAAAACGUUGCAUAUUGUCAUUACAAUUCUGUCAAAUAUUAUACAAGCAAGGACAUUGCUGGCAAGUCAAAGUUUUGCUAUUCAAGUAGGGGGAACGCUAUCAAAAAUUACUGCUCAUUGUUGGGUGUAGGGGUAAAUAAAAAAUUAUAGAACCCCAAUUAACAGAAGCAUUCAACGGAUGGAUUCUCCAGUUUCGGAAACUACUUCACAGUUGAAGAACAAUUAGAGAAGAAAAAAGAGAAAGGGGGGAAGGGCAAAGUUUUUUAGUGUCAAUUUCAUUGGUAAAGAAACCAAAAUUAGAACAAAUCCUAUUCAAAUUAUCUGUAGCAGGUCUAUUCAGCGUUGGGAUUCAAAUGAUGUCUACAGGAAAUCAUCUAGCGACAAACUAUGAAAGCGAUAUCGUGAUCAUAUGACACGGAUGGAUGCCACUAAUUUCAACCAAUAUCUUAAAUAAAUAUUUAAGCAGCCAAAAUAAAUAUAUGGUAAAAGCUCACAAAUCCCAAGGCCGAUUUUUCUCAUUAGCCAGGUAUCCAAUGCAGAUCAUAAAGUUUCUUUCAGCCGCUAAAAGAGUUAAAGCAAAAGCGAAAUUAUCAAGUUGACCACCACCUACACUAACACACAGCUUCUAAUAUAAACUGGCAAAUGACAAUAGUAAUAAUAUAAUAUGAAUUGGAAAUUGCUUUCAGAAACGUCAUUAUCUGCAAACUCCCAAAAGUGGGUCAAUCAUCAAUCUCAACGACAAAUAAGAAUAGCACAUGCAAACAAAAGAGAUACCCAGGGAUUUCUAUCCUAUACUUUUUCUGUUUCUUUUACUGUAUUUUUAUCAAAGCCCAUAUCCGUCCUUUUGUUUCAUCAUAUGAUUGGGUAAUCAACAACAGAACAGACAAAAUUUUCAUUUAAAAACAUAUAAUUAGCUAAAAAGUCAAUAUUUAAAAAGGAAAACAAAUAUAUUUUCUCUUUUUUUCUUCUCACCUUGUUGAGUUUGAGACGACUGUCCAAGAUUUUUCCUUCUGAGGUAAAAAGAAAGUCUUCAGCCAUUUUGUAUAGCAAACACUCAUACCCUCUUUCAUCUGCAACCAAAAAUUCCCUCUCUCCAAAAUCCAAAUACGUCGAUAUAGGCUCAACCUCUUCAAAAAAGAAAAAAACCCAGUUCCCAAUUCAAUACUCACAUACAGUAUCAGAAUAAGAAAAAAGAACAAGAAUCGGACAGCAAUAUGACCUGGCAUCUCAAAAUCAUGGAGUAUAAAGUCGAUAGCGAGUUCCAUGGGAGUCUUUGGCGUACUGUAAACAAAAGAAAGAAGAGAUAACAUAAAAAUCUGCUUAGAGAAUGUUAAUUAACUUAAUGCCAUAUAUAAUUCUUCUUUUUUAGAUGCUCAUGAAACGAACAAUAGACUUUUUGAAAAAUAUUUACCAAAGUGGCUCUGAUACAAUGGAUAAAUCAUCCGCAUCCUCCCCUUGGUUCCUCAGCUUCUGAAUCGCCGAGUCCACCGCCUUCUUGUACGAGUCGGCCGCAACUCCACUCGGAAAAAUUUUCCCACUGCAAACUCAUUGAUUCAAGAACCUAGACUCACUUCAAAUUGACCGAGAAAAGAAAAGGCGAAACAAAAAAAACGAAGGAAAAAAUGGACAAACAAAGGUUCAAAUUCCAUCUCUAAACCAUCAAUACAUUGUUCAAUACCACCAAAAAACAAUGUCUCGACUCUCGAGCAAAAAUAGCGGAGGAUUAAAAGAAACCAUCCGAAACAUAAAAGAGAUUGGGCGAAACACGAAAAUAACAUCAAUCAAGAUCAGGAAUCCAAACCUUCGAUCAUAGAUAUUAUAACGAGCAUUGCUGUAAUCAGAGAAGCAAGUACGGAGACUAGAUUUGAGAGCAAGUUCCCAAACCGGAUUCGGCUCUUUACCACCGACUCCAACAAUCCACCCCGCUCCAAGUUCCACCGAUACACCUCCAAAAUUCUCCUUACAAACUCUUCCUCCAAUACGGUCAGAAGCCUCCAAAAUCACAAAGUCAUCUACUCCAUUGUCCACCAAAACCUUCGCCGCCGACAAACCUUCCAAUCAACAAAUCAACUAAAUCAAAUCAAAGAAAAAAAAAAAAAAAGUACAAUAAAGCGAGAGAGUCGGAAACGGAAUGAAUCAGUAACAGACAAAGGUAUAAACAAACUAUAAGAAGAGUCAUAACUCACCGGAAACACCGGCGCCGAUAACGAUGACGGAGGAACGAGAAGGAGAAUCCAUUAGGGGAGGAAUUGAAAAAAAGAGAGAAAAGGAAAAUAGAAGAAGGUAUUGAAAAAAUGUUAACGAGAAAUAUUGAAGAAAUAUAGCGGGAGUCGGUUUAUAUAGUUUUUUUCAGGACUCCCCUCUCUGAGUUGGAGAUUUAUUCCCAAUUCUAUACUCCAUUAUUUAACGUUAAAUAUAGAUUAAAUUUUCGUUUAACCUAAUAAUUAUCUUAAAAGAUUCUGUUUAAUCAAUACUUUUAAAUAGUUUACAAAUUUUAUGAUUUAUAAAUAUUAUAACAAUUUUUUUAAAAUCAAAAUCUAAUUUCGAAAUAUAUUACAAAACAAUAAAACAUGAAAUAGUAAAAUCCAUUAUUUUUAGAUUUGCUAGAAAUACAAAAAUUUGAAAAAGAAAAAAGGAAGAUUUCAAGGUCAUUUUCUUUUAACCCACUAGACUAUGAAUUGACAUCUUACGCGGAAUUAGGAAGGGUAAGGGUAUUUCUGUCAUUCCAUAAUUUUUUCUUUUAUUUUUUAUUUGAACAAAUAAAAGAUAGAAUUCAUUUAUUUUAGGCCACAGAAAAUGAAAUAAAAUUUUGUAUUGAUUUAUUAAAAAACAAAUCCUAUAAUUAUUAUUUAAUCACUUCUCAAAUGUUCUUUCUUUUCUUUGUUUUCGUGAAAUUUUUCAAAGAUAGUCAAUUAAUUUGUAGCAAAAUUGUAACCCAACUUGCCUACAUAAUUAAUAGUUAAGUAUUAAGGGAGAAAGAAAACAAGGGUUUGUUUUUAUGAUAAAUGUCACUUUAAAUUUUAUGUGGUUCAAGAAUUCCUAUAUUUUUUUGACACUUUUUUAAAAAAGAAAAAAAAAAAAGAGACGUCCAAAUAAAAUGUUAUACUUUAAUAUUAUUCACAUCAUUUAUAUAUCAAUUCAAUUUGCUACAAACAUAUUAUACACUUCAAAGUUUACUUUAAUAAAACUAAAAAAAAAACGUCUAAAUAUUGUAGUUUAAAUUAUUCAAAGUAAAAAAAUGUUAAUAGUUUGGUUCGAGUCUUCCUUAUUUUUAUUGAACUACAUAAAACAUUGUUUUAUAGAAAGUGAUAUUUGUUAAUUGUUGCUACUUGUUUAAGGUCAUUAUUCAAAUUAUUUAAGUGUGAGGGGCAAUAUCGGAAAUUGAACAAGUCAAAUAACAUAUAAUAAAUUUAUAAACAUUAGUUUAAGAGAAAGUAAUAUUUUUAUAAUGUCAAUCAAUGGAGAAAAAAUGAUGGUUGUACUUGUACUAUUGUACCCUGCAUUCCUCCUUUUCUAUAUGCCAAACAAGUUGAAAUAUAUAUAUAUAUAUAUAUAUAUAUAUAUAUAUAGACUUUUUUUUUUUCUUUUCAUAUUGAUUGAAUUAUUAAAAAAGUGUGCAUUAUAUUUCUUAAAUAGUUGUGAGUAGUUGCAUGAUAUGCAUGAUAAAUGCAUGUAGGUUUUGUUUGUACUCUUUGUUUUAUUGAAACAAUUUAUAUGUAUGUAUGUAUACACGCUAUAAGUUUAGUUAAAAGGAUUUCGUUUUUAAAUUAUAUAUUAAUAUCUAUCUCUUAAGCAAGUAAACAUUAUUGUUCAAUCGACACAAAUUUUGUAUUUCAAUUUUUAGGUCAGCGGUUCGAUUUCUCAACCUAUAUCAAACAUCAAAUAAUGUUUGAAUCACUCGCUCCAAAUAAUAAUUGAAUUGUCGUACAAAAUUUUUGUAAGGAAUAUUAAUUAAAAUGUAUACUAUAGCCUUUUUGUUGUUGGUAAUAAAUAAUAUAUAGUAUAGUGAAUUGAUGGAUGGCAUGGGGACGUGAAAUAUGGGAAGGAAAUUAAGUAGAAGCAAUUUAUUGUCGCAUUGUAUGAUAAUUAUAUUGAAUAAAAACAAGUAUUGAAUUAGAGUGUUAAUUAAUCCUAAUGAGAACAAGGUUAAUCCGACGUGUAAGGAUUAGCACCCAUGAUUAAGGGAUAAUUAAAUAACACUAAGCAUUGUAAAAUGGGGGGUUUUGUCAUAAAAUAAAGUACUAAAAGGUUAAAAUAUAAUUUUAGGUAUUAGGGCUUCACCUUUUACCAUAUUGUUUUUAAAUUAUUGUUUUGAGGAAAACCUUUUUUAGAUUAAAAAAGAAAAAGAAAAAGGUUGAAAAGUACACCCAAAAAAAUAUGUAUGCAUAUUGAGUUACUCGAGACUUUGGCUUUGAUAUAGAGGUUUGAAAGUUCAGAUUGAUCUUUUAUUGUAGAUCUCUCUUUCGUGUUUUUGUAGAAUAUAAUAAUCUGAUUGUGCUUUCCUUAUUUAUUUUGUUCAACAUAAGGCUUUUGUUUUGUCUGAAUUAGUGGGUUUUGUUGUUGAGAUCGGAAGAUAAGUCUAGUCGAUCCAUGUUGUCUCUUUUGCUUGACAUUCGUGUAAUAAAAAUGGUGCAUCGCUUAGUCCAUGUUGCGAUUGGGUUGAAUGAAUCGACUCUAAAAAGAAAAGAAAAAUGUUAUAUUUAAAAUUAUCAAAUUUGAAAGAGUUAUUGCCUUCAUCAUGAAUGUUCAAAAUAUUUUAAAGAAAAUGGCAGAAAAAUCUGUGGUAUAUUGAAUAUGUUUUUCUUUUUCCCACUUAUUGUCAAUAAUGGAAUAUAUAUUUUGACUCUAUUAUUAUUUUUUUUUCUCAGACUACAUUGAAAAAUGUAAAUAAUAAUAUUGGAAGAAUAAGUUCAAACUUUACACUACUUAACAGUGGACCCUACCAUAUGCAACUUUCUUAAAUAAUUAAGGGCAUUUUUGGUAUUCCCUCUCUUCUCAAUUUGUUAUACUAUUAUACUAUUUGGAGUUUGUUAUCUUAAAAUUAAAUAAAGUCUUGAGAGCUUAGAUGUCAUAUAGGUAAGUGAGAGUCUCUCUUUAAAAAAAUGUUUUCUAACAAACUAAUUUUUAUUUAAAAUAAUUUAUUUUUUAAAUUAGACACUUGAGUACUCUUUUUCUUUUAAAUUUAUUGACAUGGAUGGAACCAUUGUUUUUAUAAGAUUAGAUAGAGACUGUGAAAUGGGGAAAUGGGGAAAUGGAGAAAGGAAGGUUUUGGUGUAACGCAACGGUGAGGUCAACGUCAGAAGAUGUAAGCAUUGAAUGGGAGUGGGACCCAAAGGAUCAAAGAGAGUGAGAAGAAAAAUUAAGAAAAAAGGGGACCCGCAGCGCACGUGUCGAAGUAGAAGCCACACGUGUGGGGGGAAGAAAGGAGGGGUAAUGUGUGUCUGUGACGGUGCUCAUUUUGACAGCUAGGUAACCGGCGGCCGAUUGUUGGAAAGGAAAAAGGAACAGGCAAAGGUCCACGUUGCCCCUGUUGUUUCUGCUUCCAAACACUCUGUCCCGCUAAACUAUCCCUUCUGUUUUCCCACCUCAUCUUUUUCUAUUUUCCUUUUUUUCCAUUUUUGUAUCUUAUGCCUUUAAACGACUUUUAUUUUAUUUUUUUAAUUUCUUUGUUAUUUAACUUUUCUUUUCCUUUUCAUUUUUUCACUAAAUAUAAACUAUCUUUUUUUUUCUCAAAUAUAAAACAUCCUAACAAAAUCGUUCGAAUAUUAGAUAAUCAAAUCUAAAUAUGUACAUAAACACUCAAAUCUAAUACAAAAGUUCUUUAAAUUUGAAUGGCCAAAUUUAGAUUAUGUAUAAAAAAAAGUCUUUAUACAAAAUUUAAACCUAUCAAAUCUAAAAAAUGGUUUAUCAAAUUUAUUACCUAAGCGUUGUAGAUAUUUUUUGUAUUUUUUAUAGGUACGUGUAUAAAAAUUAAUUUAAUAUAAUAUGUCAAAUUAAAGUUCAAUAGUCAUUUUAAAAAAGCAAAAUAUUGUAGUUGCGUUCUAUUUUUCUUUUAUUUAUUGUUCCUAAGAUAUAUUAUUGUAGUCGUGUAUUUGAUUUCCAAUGUUUGACUUCUCAUAUUUUAUUUGGAUGAAUUUAUUUUUCUAAACCCGAAUCAUCUUUUAUAAUAUUUAUUUAAAUUUGAGGAUAAAAUAAAAUAUGAUUACUAUGAACUUUAAUAAAAUUUCAAAUUUGGAAAAUACAUUUUUUUUCAUUUAGAAAUUUAAAAGAAAAUCCAUAAAACAAAUUAACCUAAAUGCCAAUUUUAAUUUAAGAACUGAGAAUUAGUUGUUUAUCAGCAUCGAUUAUAAAUAUCUGAUUGGAUAUGGACUAUGAACAUAUAAUGACAUAAUUAUAGAUUAAUAAAUUAAUUACUAAUUAUUAUUAUUGGAGGAGGAAAAAAAAUGUUGAUUGUUAAGCUAUGUCAACCACAGAUUUAUAAAAUGGAAAAGAUAUAUGAAAACCUCAUUUAAACAAGAUCUUAGUACCAAAGAUCUUACGUUAAAUACAAGAUCUAAUCUAUUUAAGUUAUUAAUUGACCUUUGACAAAUGUGGCAUCAAUUUUAAUCAUAAGAUAAUUAUCUUUUUUAAUUUAAAAAUCGAUUAUCUAAGUCAAUAUUUAAACCAGUAAUUAAUUAGUGUAACAAAUAAAUAAAAUUUUUAAAAUUAAACAUAUAACAAUAAUUACAUAUUCCUAAACCAAAAUGUCAACUCUCAAACUUUUUGCAGUUCUAUAAAUUUUUUUAAAUAAUUAGAUAAUUAAAAAUAUUUUAAUUUGUAAUUUAUUCGAGUAGAAAUUUUGUUGAGUGUUAUGGAUUUGUUUUAUUCCAAAGGGCAUCUUCAAACUAUUUGAAUAAACAAACAAUAAAGAUUAGUUGUUCUUUUUAGUCAAGUCCUUUAUAAUUAAAUUACAAAGACUUUUAUUUUUCUUUUUUCUAAAAUCUUAUUGUAUAUUGAUUAAUAAUAAUUAUAUAAAUGUUGGUUGUUAUAAUAUUUGGUUAUUUUUCCAAAAAGUAAUAACUACGUUAAGAUGUAAAGUAUAUAUUAUAAAAAUAUAAAUUAACAAAUAAUACCGUACGCGUUGGUAUUAGUGGAUGAAUUAGAUUUUAAAUAAUGAAUCCAUUAGUUAAAGAAUAGGGAAAAUGUAAGUCUACCCUUUAUAGUAAAUCCAUUAAUAAUGAAUACAUAAAUUUUUAAUCUUGACGUCAUAAUAUAUAACAAAUUAGGAAAUGAUUAUUUUAAAAAAUAUAUAGUAAGCAAUUUAUUUUGCUUUCCUUUAUCUUCUUUUUUGAAGAUAAAAUUAGUCACUAAAAAGAGGAAAAGAAAGAGAUGUGAUAAGUGAUCCCAUAACGAAAUCGUGGCAAUGAAAUGUUACAGGAAGGUGACGCGUGGCACUUGCCUUGCUGUACAUGGGGUCCACGCUGACAAAUUUAUGGGCAUUUAUAUCUUUAUAAACUUUUUUUUUUUCAUAAUAAUAAAAUUAUAUAUCCAACGAAACAAAAAUAUUUAAUAAUAUGACAAUUCAUUAUAUAUAGUUUUCUCGUCCUUAUUCUAUACACAUUGUAUUCUAUUCUUAUUUUAAAAAAUUUAUCGUAUCUAACUUCGGUUCAUAAUUUUUUUAAAAAAAAGACAAAUUUUUCUAUACAUUUUGAAAUGACGUUAAAAUUUAUGAAUUAAAAUAGAACUAAAAUGAGAUUUAAAUCUUUAUAUGUCUAUUAAAAUAUCAUGUAAAGAAUAAGUAAAUGAGCGUUGCAUGCAUUCAAUCAACUUUGUUAAUGAUACCAAAGCUUGAAUUCUUAAAACGAUUUCUUAUAAUUAUUUGUUCCAUAUUCUCAAAUAAAAUUAAGAUGAAUCCAAAUAAUAUCCUUUUCAGUGUGACGGUGGUUUAUUAAAAAAAGAAAGAUAGAAAUUUAGAGUCGUAAAGAAAUAAAAUUAAGAUUCUUCCUUUUGUUAAUACAAAAUAAAUUAAACAAUCUUUUGGUCAUAAUGAUUCGGUUUUUGUUUAUAAUAAUUGUAUCAAACAUGAUUUUUAAAAAAUAUAUCUAUCCUAUUACACCUUUGUAAUUUUUGUUUUUCAAAAUUAAACUUUUUAGUUUUUACCUUCCACCUAUAAUUCAAGAAAAAAGUGCAAUUUUGAAAAAUACAAAAUGUAAUUUUAAGAUUUUCUUUUAAAAUUCAACUACGAAUUAAAUCGCUAUAAUUAAAAAAAAUGAAGUCAUUAUUAAAAACGAGGAGAAAAUAGAUUUGAUUUAAAAAAAACGACAAAAAAACAAAAUGUUACCGAACGAAUCUAAAUAAUAUAAAUAUUGUUUGAUAGACAAGAUAUUAAUUAAUUAUAAAAAAAACAAUUCUAGAGAUUAAAUAAAUUUUUUCAAUAUAGAAAAAUAGUGAAACUAUUUAACCUUCAUAUAACAAACCAUUAAAAGAUGAAAAUUAUUACACCUGAUUUUUUAUGAAAUGUAAAUAUUUUGUUAAAUGUUUGAUAAUUUUCUCAUUUUUUUAGGAGUAGAUGCAAAUUUAGCAUUCAAAAUAAUUAAGUAUAUACCAACAUUUAAAAAAAAAAUUAAAUAUAACAAAAUUUGUCAAAUUCUAUAAGAUCGUACGAGUCUAUAUAGUUUGGUUAUAUUUGUAAUUUUUUUAAAUAUUGUUAUAUAUUUAAUUAUUAUUUGUGUAAUGACUCUCAAUUAUAAUUACUUAUUUUUUUAAAAAAAUUAUGUAUUUUAGGAACUAUUCUAAAAUUGAAAGAAAGAAAAGAAAAAAGAAUGACAAUUUAGGAAAGGAAAGAAAUAGUUAAAAAAAUAAAAAAGGAAAAUGGAUAAUAUUUAUUUUGAGUACAAAAUGGAUUGUAUUUAAAGUUUGGAAUUUUCUUAUCAUUCUUUCUCCUCUAUCUUUUUGGGAGAAUAUAAAAGACAAUAGAUUUAUGGGUGUUGCUUCAAAUUUGAGCAAAAUGACAAUGAUAUAUAUGCAUUUAUGGAAUUAUGUAUUUUUAUUUAUUUCUUGUUUUGUACCCUUUUUUCUUUUCCUCAAAUAUUAUUCAAAUUCUAUUAAAUUUUGGAAGUUUCUAACAUAGGUACCAAAAAUUGACUCAAUCCUAUCACUAAUUUUUUCAUCAAUUUCUCCCUUUUGUUCUUUUCCUUAUAACCAUUUUCCAUUUCGGUAAAUAUCAUAUCCAUUCUUAAAUUUAAAAAAAUUCCAAAUCUAAACAUUUGAAACACUAUAUUAUUGUUUAAAUUGUAAAAAUGUGAAUAAACUAAUUAAAACUUUCAAACAUCAUAUACAUAUAAAGUACACAUUACAUUACUUACCUUUACCUUACUUUUAAGUUACUCUAUGAUACCAAUUAAGAAAAAUUUGUGUUCAUUUAAACUUUAGAUAUUUUUUUAUAUCAUCAACCCAAUAUAGCAAAGUUUAUACUAAUUAAACAUGUAAAACAACAUACACUCAAUAUCGAACGUUGUCUACGUAACACCCAUGAUGCAUUUAAAAAUCUAUUUACAAGAAUUUUGCCCAAAUACAAAACUAAAAUCUUAUAUUUAAGCUUAACCCAUUUGAUUAGAAUAUAUACAUGUAGAAAUGGUUUUUUUCACUCUCAUUAUCAUGAGAAAACAAUAGUGUGGAUUAUUUAUUUAUGUAUUGUUUUUGUUGUUUAUUUAUUUAGGGGUUAAUAAUUGUAAAAGUGGGGUUGAAAUGACAAAGGGAUAAAGCAAAGUCUAUAAUUAAAGAAAGAGAAAGGCCUAAAGGAAAAUUAUGUUUCCUUACCAAAGUAGGGAGCAAAAUCUUAUGGAUAGUGAUGGAGCUUUCUCAAGAUUCUAUGCAAUUUGUCUUUUUUUCAAAAUAUUAUUAAUAAAAUUUUAAGAUUACAUAAUGAAUAAUUCAAUUCCAUUUUUAUAUAUUAAGAAGGAAAAACAAAACCCUUAAUUUAACUUCCAUUUAUUACUUCAAAUUUAGUAUUUUCUUUUUUCUUUUUUGUAUAGAUAACAUUUGAAAUAAUUAAAGUAGUGUAUUCUCAUAAUGGAUAUUGGAUAUAUGUUUUGCUUGGAAAGCAACCUCUUUUUUCUUUGGAUUUUUAUGGUGAUUAUACAUAGUUUUCUCAAAAUAAUUCUAUGUGCUUUUUUGAAAUAGAAUUAGAUGAUGUGAAAACGCAUUAAUUAGUUUAUUGGUCACUAAUUUGUUUUUAAUUACUUUUUCUCACUAUGUGUAUGCGUGUGGAAAUUUUUAACUUCUAGAAAAUGAAUAAAUCAAAGUUAAUAUUGUUUCUUUCAAAACCAUGCAAAGUUUGUAAUAGUGAUGUGCACUAAUGUAUUAUUGGUACAAAAAUCAUCUCUAUAUAUUACUUCUUUAAAAAGAAAAAGAACUCUAUGCUUUGCACAAACCAAUAUAAUGAAACUUGAUCCAAAUUAAUGAGCUAGAGAACUACUAAUUAAUAACAAUUUUGAAAAUGAAGUGAACAAUAGAUAUGUGUGUGUGUGUAUAAUAAUAUUCAUUUUUAGGAUAGAACUUCUAAAUUUGCUCAAAAGAAACCCAUAUUGAAUAUAACAUAUUUGUUCUUAGCUUAACUUUGCAAUCAAGUUUGGAAAAAAUGGGAUGAUAAAAGAGAGGAUAGAGUAAGAAUAUAUAAGAGCAUUAAUGUAAUGGGGAUGGUGAUGGUGAUGGUGAUGUGUGGUAAAUUUUGCUUUGGAUUUCAGUUUGGUCACCUCCCCCACUCAACUUAGGUUUUUGAGAAUAAUUUGCAUGAAACCAUAUAAUAAGUCAAAAAGAGAGCUCCAAAAAGGAAUUAACUUAAAGAAUAAGCAAAACUCAACAUAUGUUUGGCUUUUCUAUAACUUAAUGAAUCAAAAUCACUUUCCACUAACCCUUUUCCCUUUGUUUUUGGGUGACCAAGUCGAGGAGUUUGAACUAAUUCAUGCAAUGUGUGUAGACACAUAUUUAUUUUCUAAUGCUUGAAAGUGUACUCAUAAAGAUUUGUUUUCCGUCAUUAUGUUGAUGAUCACUAUAUAUAUAUAUAAGUAAUUUAAGAUGAUUUCUAGAUUGAAUUACAUGACUUUGUUCCGUUCUGUACAUUCACGUAAUGAUUGUGGAAGGAAGAGUUUGCUUGAAAAUGAGAUCAAAGUUUUGCAUUGGACUACUAGAUAAAAGGUUGAAUAUAGAAAAGAUAGUUGUCUAUCUCUAAAAGCAAUGAAAUCAAGUGAACAAUAUUAUACUAUUGUGGGGAUAUUUGGAUGUUCGGUCGCUCCUCGCACACACAUACUCUAUAUUUUAUAUUAGUAUCAUUUGAGAGAUAAAAGUUUGAUUUAUUAAGUGUAAAUGUGUAAAGUCUUUUGACAAUUAAGAGAAAACACAUAAUUAUUACAUAUAGAUUUUAAGAUCUUAUAUUCAAUGAUGCACGGGAUGACAACGGGACACGAUGUCCUUAAAUUUAGGGGUCUAAGUCCAAGUUUUCUUGUUGUCACACACCAUUUGAUGUUCAAACGAGAAAUUCAACGAGAAAAGAAAACAAUAAUAAUGCACCAAAAUAGUUGAGUUGUGAGACUUCAUGUGUGAAAAAGAUGACAUAUGAAAGUUUAUAGGUUUGUUUAUAAUUACCAAAUGGCACUAUUACAUAUAUAUGCAUACAGGCCUCCAUCCAUUUGAACCCAAUUUUCUCUAUUCAACCUUCAAAACUUGUAAAGAACCCAAUCUUUUUCUCUCUAAAAGAAGGGGACUUAUCAUUAUUAUUCCCAUAUAUAUGUAAUGUAAACAAGGGUAGCUAGUGGAGCACUUUGAUUAAUCUGUCCUUUCUUUGACUUUCUUUUCCUCCAAUAUUAGACCAUAUAUAGCUAGGGUUUAAUGUUUCCCCUCCAUGGGUAAAACUUUUAAUUAAAGGAAGACCUUAUAAAGGGUAAGAAUUGAAACCCUAUAUGUGUCCAUUAAAGUUGGAGCAGUCAUAGGUUUAUAAAAAAAUGGUGGUAAUAUAUAUAUUAUAUAUCUCUACUAUAGCAAUAACGAAUCCAAGCUUAAAAGUUAGUUCACGCCAAUUUAAGUUAAAUGUGAAUUAUAUCAUAUAUAUAUAUAACUUAAAAAUGUAUGCUCAUAAACUAUGAAGUUCAUGGAAGCAAUAUGUAAGUAUACACACAAACUUUCCGUCCAUGACUUUAGUGACAAACAUCUAAAAAUGUUCAAAGUUUGAAAAUAAAAACGAAACAUUUUAAGCGUUUAAACGUAGAUUUAAUAAUAUGAUUUGAAAAGAGAAUUAGAUAAUAAAUGGAUAGGGUGAAAGAAUGAUGAUGAAAAGUUGAAAAGAAGGAGGAUAUGAUGAAUCAAAAUAUAUGAUAAUAUAAUAUAAAAAAGGUUCCCUCUUGAGAGCCAAAGAUGAUGAUAAAUUUGAAACAAAUUGAUUACAAUAAUAUAAGCAAUAAUAACCCAAAGAAAAGAAAAAUGGGAAAAGAAGAAUCUAAAUUGAUAAAUGGAAAAAUGGGUCCAUAUGAAAUAGGAACCUAUAAUAGAAUGGCUAAAGAAUCAUUCAUUCUGUCUUUCUUUUUUUUUUCUUUCUAUAUAUGAACACUUGUCUCAUUCCCAUUGGUCAUUGUGGUGCAACUAUGAAAAUCCAACUUUUUUUGAAAAUUUAUGUGUGAAUGUUAGAACAUGAAAGGAAUCCAAUUCUAAAUCCAAUCAUUCCUCACAAAGAAAAUCCAAACAUUCCAUGAUUUUUUUAAAUAAAGUAUGAGUUCUCAUGGAUUUGUUAGGAAGUGUUGAAAGAGAUUGGUGAUGAUCAAUUCAUCCACAUGUUGAUGGAUUUUGAAAUUUUAAGUCCAUUAUUUAAACAUUAUAUGAUCAAAAUAGGAGAUUUUUAUGUGCUAAUAAUGGAGAUUGUUUCAUGUUCAAAAUCAUGUCAAAAAUCACUUCAAAUUUCUAAAGUAAAGUUAUAUUGUGGAUGUGACCGAAUAUGACGGUUUAGAAUGAUAUUUCAUUUUCCCAUCUUUCAAAUCAAAUAAUUUUACGAAAAAAAUUAUGUUUAGAAACAAGAAACAACAAUGUUUAGAAAAUAAAAAAAUAAAAUAUUUAUUUUGUAGUUUCAAGCACUUAACUUUUUAACAUUGCAUCUAUUCAUCCACAAACUUUUAAAACUUUUAACAAUAAAAUUCUUUUAAUUGAUUAGACAUAAAAUUCAAUUUUACAUACCAUAUACAUCAACUAAUCUUCAAACUUCAAGGAGGUCUUUAAACAAAAUUUAAAACUUGUUAGAUACUUUUUGUAAUUUAACUCGAAUCUUAGCAAUUUUGGUUGAAGAGAUCAAGUAGGGAAUAACUUGGUGUGGUGUUUCCUCUUGAAGUUGGUGUGUCCUAAAAAAGAUAUACAACUCUAUAUCAAAAUGAAAGUGAUCAGAGACUUAAUUAACAUACUAUAUAGCAAACUUUAUUAAGUAUUGUUAUUGAAGAAGAAAAGAGGUUGUUGGUACUCAAUCAAUGAUGUGCCGUAAAAAGGGAAUGAGAGAAUAUUAUGGUUUUUGUGGGAUUUGUCAAAUCCAUCCAUCCCUUUAGAAUAUAGAAAACAAAUUCCAUAAACUGUCAUUUAGUAUACAAAAGGAAUAUUAUUAGCAUUGACUCUCAAUAUCCAAAAUUAUUGGGUGUUGAAACAAACAAACAUUGGUCUCACAAACCCACAAAUCCCUUCAAAAAGAAAAAAGAAAAUUACACCUUUUUCCAAUGCUUUGUUUUCUGUUUUGAAAAUAGAUUGAUGGGUUUGUUCUUCCUUUUAUCCAAUUUCUUAUGCCACUGUUUGGACUUUGGAGAAGGUUUGGUUGUUGCCUUUCUCAUUGCUCCACUGACCAAUCCCUUAUUGCUUUUCUCACUGCUUUCAGUUUCACAUUUCAAAGUUUUCAACCUUUUUUUAUUUUUCCUUUCGUUUCAAGUCAUGAUUUUUAAAUGGGUUUAUGUAUAUGUAUCUAAGUUUUCAUCAUAUUGACUCACUAUUGUGUGCUCUUCUAAUUCCAUUCACACAGAUACUUGGGUUGUUUUCUUCCCAUUUGUCUAUUUCUUUAAAUGUUUUGAUACCAACUUCUCUAUAGACUACUCCUAUUCAAGAAUUUCUAAGAAGGUAGGUCGUUUUUUAAGUUUUCUUUUCUUUAACCAACAUUCAUUGAAUGUACGUGGAUAUAUUGAAUUCUUUGGUAUCUUUUCAUUUCAAAUUUUAGCUUUGUUUGAGUGGCAUAUUCCAUAGUCAACAAUAAUUGAUAUCUACUCCUUUUUAAAAGAUUGAAAGUUCAAAUCUCCGGCUAUCUUUAUUUUUUAUACUAAAAGAAGAAAGAGAAAAAGGUGGCAUGAGUCAAAUAUUUGAGCUUGUGAAUGCUCUCUUUUAUAAACUAUUUGAUUGAAGAUAUUUUUAUGGAAAGUUGAUGGGCUAAAUGUCACUUUGCACAUAGACUGAGGCUAAGGAGCCCACCACAUGUUCCUAAAAUUAGAGCCAAGUAUUGGGAUAGGUUUGUUUGGAUGAAUGAUCUUAAUCAAAGUAUAAAAUCAAAAUGAAUAUUAGAAAAUAAUAAUGUUGAAACCUUAUUAAGCAUCGAACAAUGACUUGAAUUAGUCAAUCAUCCCGCAAGGAAACUUGGCAUGAUAUGAUCUCCGUAAAACAAGGUUCAAAGUUUAAUUAGAGUUGAGUCAUACUCAUAUUGGCUAGACUUAUAUUACAUGUAACAGGAAAAUAUAACACAACGAAAAGUUGAAAAUAUGCCCAAUCUUAGAUUACAUGGAAAUAAGAGAAAAACUUUAAUCACUUCCGUUCUUGUUAACGGAACAAAAAACAAGUACAUAAGUUUCUCAAAUGAGAGUAUCCAAGCUUCAUGGAAGAAAAGAAUGUCUCGUCUUCGAAAGCGAGUAUUGGGGUUAGAAGAUAAUGUAUUCUUCAUCUCCGUCGUACAAAGAAUCUUAUCAAGACAUGUAUUCAAUUAGAAGACACAAAAUGCAACUAACAGCAAAAUAUGCCAACAUGAUAAGAGCCAUUAUUUUGAUGUUUGAAAGCUGACAAGCAAACGAUGGAUUAUUUCAUAUAAGAAGACUGAUAAAUCCUAGAUUUCCUCCAGAAUAUAAAUCGCUCUAUCUUUUAUAGGCAGCUGUAAAGUAGGGAACAUAGCUGGAAGAAGGUCAAUGGACAAGUUUUAGGUAAGCACAACCAGGAUCACAGUGAAAGAUACCAGAAGAUCAUGCAAUAGGGCAACUGGCUACAGUUAAACACUCACAAUGAAAGAUACAAGAAGAUUAUGGUAAUGUGACGGGCCACGGUAUAACAGUAUGAGAAGCAUCUCGAGUUGAGCUGUAGUCCAAUUCCAGGCGUUGCAAGCCAUAUGCUAGAGAGCUAGAGCUCCUCUAGCAGAAAUCAAUUCUGAUAUUCAGAUUAGCUCUGAAAAUACCAUACAUGAAGGUUUGUUGCCAAGGGUUGGUUGCCUUGAGAAGAAACAGUAGUCCCAUUAAGCUUAUGGUGGGUGGGGACAUUGGUCAAGAGCACAUUUUCUUCUGUAAAAUACAAAUAUGAUACAGAUAUUAGCAAUGUAAUCGGAAAGGAAACAUAAAAGUAGAUGCAUAUACCAUGUGACAAAUGCAAUUGAAAUGAAAUUUUGUUGAACAUAAAUUUGGAAAUCAGUAGUGUGUUAGGUACCCAAACCCAAAAAUUAUGUGAAAACACCAAUAACGAUAUUGCAAUGUCUGAUGAAAUUAGAAUAUAAACAAGUGAUUCGAGGUACUUGCAUUUUCUCUCUUGACAUCUCUCUCAAGUCCUAAUUUACUCAAUAAUGCCUAACUUCAUCCCUUCCCACUCUCUUAAACCUAUCCUUGAACCAAUAUCAUUCCAUUUUAUCAUGAAAGAAAAUAAGUGGUGACUGCUGGGAUUGUAAGAGUUACACUCUAUUUUGAGAAAUUAUUUGCAAUCAAUUAGAUAGAGAAUGAGGAAAGAAGCGCUUAUAUGUUAACAAAUGGAUCAUUCAGAAUCAAUACCAUCAAGAAACUUUACUUGUAAUGAAAGAUACAGUCUAGUCACUGCCCCAUCACGAGACAUUUUUUUAUAAAAUGUGAUCUACAGUGAACCUGAAUAAGCACAAAAACUUGGAGUUGUAAAAAGUCUUACCGAACAAGAAUUUUUUUUUUUCAUAAAACAAGCAAGAAAUAACAAAAGAAACAAGAUGGAAUUUUUCGGUUUAAACUUGUAGUGCGACAACUAACAAAUUAAUGAAAUCUACCUGAAGAAUUGAGAAGAAUGCCUUGCACUAAUGAAGACAUAGGUCCCUUGAAAAGCCAUGCCCCCAUAUGGAUCUACAUUCUUCCACACUACUGAAACGUUUUAGUAAUGGGUCCUUGUCAAGCCAGGUUUCACUGCAUCAAGCCAAUAGGACAAAGUUAUGUAAAAGGGACAAGUUUUGGUACAUGAGAACAACAUUAGAUCAGCUGGAAGAAAAAAAACACUAGAAAGUGUUAAUAGUUAACAAAUGAUUUUUGUAUUUGUUAGAGAUUAAGUUAAUUUCUAGUGUUUUAAAAAGCCCUCUUGGUAUGCCUAGGCUCAAGGCCCAGGUCUGCCGUCUCGCCUUGAAAAGGCUUGUGCCUUGAAAUUUUUAAUUAUUUUUAGAAAAUAGCAGUAUUUAGGGGCUUUCCUUGUCUAUUAACUAAAAAAUAAAAUUUACUAAGCUUAAAUGCAAAAGUUCUUCUGUUUAAGAGUUUUUUCUUUCAUAUUUGCUUCUCUUCUUAUUAUUGUACUUUUAUAUAUAGUGCGCCUCACAAAAGAAAAAACACAUGUUCUUUUUUGGCCUUGCACUUAAGCCCUAGAAGACUAUAGGGCUUCAUUGUGCCUUAAGCUUUAAAAAAACACUGGACUUUGUUUUGUUUUAAGCUUUUUGUUUACAAUUUCUCUAUAAAUUACUCUACAAAACAUUCUUUAUCAAUGAAAAAAAUCUCUUCCAUGGUAUCAAAGCAAGUGGUCCAAAAAAGUUGUGUGUUCAAGCUCUACAAUGUUAUUUCCUCUCCAAUUAAUGUUCAUUUCCACUUGUUGGGUCUUCUUCAUAUUUCAAAUCUAGAAACGAAGGGGUGUUGGAUAUUAUAUUAAAUUUGUCUUCACUCAUCAGUUUAAGUUUUUGGGUCAACUGAUGAUUUAAGAUGGUGUCAGAGAUGUUCAUAUAGGAUAGAAAAAUGAUUGACAUGACACUGCUAUUUUUAUUACAUAUAUCAUAUGUGUGGAUUGAACCUACAACCUCUUGAAAGAGCAAUGCCUUACUUGCGGAGCUAUGCUCAUGGUGCCAAGAUAAUAACACUAUUAUAAUAAACUGUUAUGCAGAAUCAUAAAUAAGCACCAAUUUACCUCGCCGUCGUUAGUGGCAAUCAACUUAUUUUCCAAUCUUUGAGCAUCCUCGGUCAUGCCUUGUGCUUUUAAGGCUCGAAUCAUUGUAGCAAAUGUAAUACCAUCAGGCACACAUUUAUUCUCUUUCAUUUCCAAGAACAACUCUCCCAUUUUUCUCACAUUACCAGCCUGGCCAUACACAUUGAUAAGGCAGUUAAAAAGAGGGGUAUCUGGUACCACAUCAGAAUUUUCUAUUUGCCUCAAAAUCGAAUCAACUUUCUCAAGAUCACCAGAUUUACCAUAUGCAUUUACGAGGGAACAGUAAGUCACAGAGUUAGGCUUCAUUCCCUGAAAUUUCAUAUUUUUGAAGUAUUCUUCCAUCUCCUCAAUAUUUCCAGCUCUUCCAAAAGAAUCAAUAAUUGUAUUCAUAGUAACAAUUGUUGGAGAGAAAAAGCGUUUUUCCAUGAAAUUCAAAACAGAUUUCAUCUUGUCAUACAUUCCAGCUUUCCCAUAUGAGCUGAUCAUAGAAUUGUAUGUCCAAAUGUCUGGCUCGAUUCCCAUCAGCUGAAAUUCCUUAUACCACUUCUCCAUCUUCUCAAUCUGCUCACUAUUUCCGUAAGCUCUGAUAAAAGUAUUGAAUGUAAUCAAAUCUGGAGGGCAGCUAUCACUUUCAAUCAUUUCAAGUAACAAGCUUUCCAUUUGCUCAAACAUUUUAGCCUUUCCAAAUCCAUUAAUAAUAGUAUUGUAAGUGACCGUAUUACAUGUGAUCCCCAGACAGGACAUAUCAGCCAGUAUCUUCUUCAGAAGAUCAAAACGACGGAGUCUUGUGCAACAAUCAAUGAGAAUUGAAUAUGUAUGUACAUCUGGCUUGCAGUCAGAAAUCGAUUUCAUUUCAUCGACUGUUGAAAUGGCCUUGUGAAGGAGGCCACUUUGACCAUAAGCACUAACAAGAGCAGUAUAAACAUCAAUAGAAGGUUUCAACCCCUCAGAAAACAUAAUCUCAAAGAGCAAACUUGCUUGCUCGGGUUGCUUGCACUUACCAAGAAGCAUCAACAAUUUUGUGUAUGUUUGGCAUCUCGGUUCAUACCAUUGUUGCUGGCGAAGUAAUCCAAAAAUCUGAAGAAAUACAAAAUUAUUUGGUCAUAACUCUCGUUUUAAAAAUACAAGAGCAAAAUCAGUUCAUCAGUCAUAAGUUUCUUCAUUUACAAUAUAUGGAAAUGUUGUAUCAAAUUUUUUUUUUUUUUCUUUUUUUCAAUAUACUUCAGAAAACGAUGGAAAUGAAUUUCUGAAACCUAUUUGAACACUAACAAGACAGGGUGCAGGGGGUGCAGGGGUUUUGAACAAAAGAAAUAAAAGCAAACAUCGCACCGAAGCAGUCUAUGAGUGAGAAAAACGAAAGGACGUACAAGAGUAUACCAAACAAAGCCAACAAAAAAAUAAGUCCAAACACUAUCUAAAGAAACAGAGUUAUAUCUAAGAGAAUCAAAAUCAAGCUCAUAGUUACGGAAAUGAAUCAAAGGAUGCAUUAAACCUACUACCUAACAAACUCUCAAAUUUCCUCACAAGAUCCCAAAACAAUCGUAGAGGAAUUUUCUUGGGGACAACACCCUACCAUGAUAAAUCAUCCCACAUAUAAAAAAGGUCGAUAGCGUUAAUUUGUUCAUGAAAGAAAUGUCGGGUAGAAGAAGCUUUGGCAGUCAUGUUGAAAUUGCUAAAACUAGAGCUCUGCAGAACUUCCAGUGCAAAAGGAUUCUGAAAGUAUACCAAACGCACUCAGAAUUUUCAGCUUACCCGUGCGUGCGUGCAUGUUCAGGGUGAUUUUAAAAUAAUUGAAACCAUUUGAAAUACCCCUUGUCAUUCAAAAUCAAUUCAAUAUUUAAUAGUACAGUUUUAAAUGCAUUUUUUAUACUGUUAAAAUUUAUUUUGAAUGAUGAUCUUGAAGAUGAAAAAAGAAAGUGAUUUCAACCGUUUUAAAAACGGCAUCGUAGAAAUGAUUCAUUGAAGCUAUAGCUAACAAGGUUUACUGGGCAUUCACGUAGGCAUUAUCAAAGUAUUGAUAAAAGAUUAAACUUACACUAACGCAUUAAACUUAAACUUCUAGAUUGAUUAAUAAUACAACGUGGUAUCAAAACAAGAGGUCAAUAUCCUUUGUUUAAACCUCUAUAAAUAUCUCUCCUUAUUUUGAGCAAAUUCACUAACAAAAACCAACCUUAAGAGCAGUUUCCCAUAGAUUCUCCUGAAUAGCUUCAUCGAGAGCCUCCAAAACAGCUUUGGGCCAAAGAUUAUUAUAUUUCUUGGAGUUGGCUUUCCUCUCUAUAGCUUUAAUAGCAGCAUCUCUCCUCAGAAUCCGAGACAGACCCUUCUUCGGAUCUCUCUGUAGUGCGUCGGAGGACUGGGUGGAAGUCCGCUUAAGUGACCGCGAAUGAGAAGAAGAGAUGAAAUAAGGAGUGGAGCUCACGGAAGCCAUUGAAAUAACUUUGGAGGUAAAGGAAGUUGAGAAGCAACGGAAAACUGUAGCGUCGGGAGAGUGAAGGCAAAGCUCCAUUGAAAUAUCCCAAGAGAACCGGUGAACUACCGAUCAACCCAAUCCAAUUUUUAUUACUUUCCUUUUCUACGUCAGAAAUUUUGAUGGGCUUUUAAAUGGAAAAGUGUUUAUAGGAGGCCCACGUAAGGUGGCCCAAAACGGAAUAAAAAUGAUAAUGAGGGUUAUAAAAAAAAAGCACGCCUGAUGGGACUCGAACCCACAAUCGUCUGAUUAGAAGUCAGACGCCUUAUCCAUUAGGCCACAGGCGCUGUUGACGUUAACGGUAACGGUAACUUCAUUUUACAAUUGACCAUUUUAUAUAUUAAUUUAUUUUUAUAAAUAGAAAAAUUAAUCCUUCUUUUUUAAUUAUUAUUUGUCUAAAUUAAGAGAAUGACUUAAUACGAAUUAUAUAUUUUAUUCUUGAAAUAUAAUCAAUAACACUUCGUGUAAUUGAAAUUUGAAUUGUUUGAUUUUGAAAUUACUAAAUAAUGUUUAUAAAAUACUUGAUUUUGGUCUCUUUAAUUAACUAAAAACGAUUUAAAAACAUUUAUCUCACUGUCUUCUAUAACCCUUUCCCUCACUCUUCUUCAUCUUUCAUCACCAUCUAAUCUAAUCUAAUCACCACCACCUAUUGUCCUAAUAUUAUCCCUUACAAAAUAGUUUUUUUUAUAUAUAUAUAAAUAAUAACAAUUACUAUUAUUAUUUAAUUUCUGACCUCAUUCACCAAAAUUGUAAGUAAAAGGAGAGGGCAUAAGUGGAAAUAUAAAACAAGUUUGUGUUUUGAAGGCCCACACCAACCCCCAAAAAUGAGAACCAUCUUUUGUUUCCCGAGCUUGUUGGCGUCACAACGCUCGUAGUUGUAAAUGUAACGCCACUUUUUGCCGCGCUUCCCUCGUGGCCCACUUUGACGGAUAUUCCGCAUUUAUAUUCUUCCAUUCAUGCCCUCUUACCUUUACUUUAUUCCCAUUUCUUCCCCAAAUUGAAUUUCACUUUGGAAUAAAUCUAAUUUAACACUAUAAUAAUCACUUUUUUUUUACUCCAACAAAGAUUAGAAGAAACGUAAAAAAUGGAAAAUUUGAUCGAAUAAAAUUAAAUUUUUAGAUCUACUAAUAGUAGACAUUCAUCCACAGUCAGAGUGGUAUCUUUCUAUUCAGUUUCUAUAUUUGAAUUGUAUUCGGUAUAGUUUAUAAAUAUUUUAGUUUAUUUUACCAUAUUUGAAAAUGUCCUUAAAUACUAUUUAAGUCUUCAAUUAGUUUCCGUAAACAUUAUUUUAAAACUCUCAAUUUGCUACCGUUUUAUUAUUUGUUACUGUCUUUAUCAUUUAACAUUCAUAAUUUUUUUAUUAUUUGUUAUCGUGUUUAUUGUUCUCUUAUCAUACUAAAAUAGACUAACAUAUACUAUUAUAACUCAAAAUAAAACAAUUUACACAAAAAAAAACACAAAUUAUAAUAACUUACUUUUUGUUCUAAAGACCUCUUUAAUUUUUUUUAAAUGACACGUUUGUUUUAUUGUUUAUGGGGUAAAUAGUUGGUUUAAAUUAUUUUAGUUUGUUAAGAAAAACAGUAAAUGUUGUAGUAAAUAAUAAAAAACUGACGAAGAUAAAAUAGUAAAAACGGUAACAAAAAAAAUCUAUUGAGAUACUAGAAUUAAGUUAAACUAUUUGUAGUUAUUUUCGUCUAAUUAAGUCUUAUAAAACUCAACUAAUACAUUAAUUAUCUUGAACAUUUAAAAUCAACGUAUUUAAUAUCUAAGGAAGAAAAUUGGUUGUGACAAAAUUUACUCACCUUUUCAAUUUAUAUACCUAUUUGGUAUUUAACAUGACCUCACAUACAUUUCAAAACCUUUUAAUGUCUCCAAAUAAAUUAAAUAUAUUUAAUGUUUUUUCUUUCAUAACCAACCAAGCAGAAAUAAAUAAUUUAACUAAAAUGCUAGUUUUCAACUCUAUGCCUACCCUAUAAUAUAUAUAAUAAUUAAUCGGCUAGGCAGUAUAGAUUGAUGAACACUUUAUUAUUGUUUUUAUUAUUGAUGUAUGUGAUUUGAUCUUCUUCAACCUUGACUUGUUUUAAAUAAUAAGCAUUUAUUACUCUUAUUCAUUCUCUUAAAUAUAUUAUUGAGUUUAUUUACAUCACAUAUAUGUUAUAGGAACUCAUUCAAAUUCUUAUAUUGGGUUUUAUUAAUAUAUCUAAAUCAUCUCCAUCAUUUCUUUUUUGUCAAAAAUCUAUGAAACUGAUGUUUACACUUGAGGAAAUUUAAUAUAUAUUUACCAAAAAUUUCCUUCAUUUGGUUUGAAUAUUUUGUUGCAAACUUACAUGAUUGAUUUGGUUUACAAGUUCUCAAUGUAAUUGAUUUUAGAUUAUUUCCCCUACCAUGUUUGACAAAAUAAAUCACAAUCACUGUAUCCAAAUUCUAGCUAAAUAUGUCCAUAUAUAUUUACUUCAUUGAGUUGAGAGCUAAAGGAUAUAUAUAUACAUAUGUGUGUCAACUUGGCUAACAUGUUUAUGGAUACUCCUAAUACGCAUUGGACAUCUAUCAAACAUUUGGUGGUACAAUAGAUCAAUAGACAUCGAUAUAUGUUAGAUGUUAAAUAACGUUUGCUUCACAUAAAAAAAAAUGAAUGCAACCCUUGCCUUUGAAAAAAACUACUAAAAAGUGUAUAUAUUUUAUCAUGUGCAUAAAAGAAAGAGGUAUGUGAACUAAAGUGUAGUGUAGGUAUAUUUAAAAAAGUGCAACUUAGACGACACUAAUGCAAGCUAAGUUGUAACUAUUUAAAAAUAUCUAUGAAUAUUUUUUUAGAUUACUACAUUAAUGAUAAUAUUAUUAAAAUUAGUAGCAUCGAUAAAUAUAGCAAAAUGAACAAAAUACUUAUAAACUGUAGCUAUCAAUGAUAGUAUUAGUAUCUAUCAAUGACAUUGAUAAAUAUUAUUAAAAGUAUAUUAGUGUCGGUCAAUGUCAAUUAUUGAUAAAAUCUAAAAUUUUAUUAUGUUUUAUUUUUUAUUUGGUUAAGUUGAUAUAAUAAAAAAAUUUAGAGUUGAAAUUAGUAAACUCCAAAGUUAAUGGUAAAUUGAUAUAUGUGGAAUUAUGUAAUUCAAUAAUUAUUCUUUAAGGAAGGAGUUUAGAGAGAGAGAAAAAGUCAAAGUGAAGAUUGAAAGAGACAAUUAUGUUAGGACUUUAUUCUUACAAAGUCAUGCCUUUUUGUUUGAAAAUAAUUAACCCCGCAAAGCUACUUUUGAAAAGCUAACCUUACUCCUUCCUUCUUAACCAAAAUCACCUAUAUACAUAUUUUCAAAUAACAUUCAUAGUUACAUAUCCUUAAGUACAAAUUGAAGAAAUAUAAACUUAUGCUGACAUUAAAGUGUGCAAUAAUUGAACUAGGUAGAAGUUAAAAACCAUAUUCAAAUUGGUUUUAGAUUUGAAUUAAUAGUGAAUAAAAAAAAAUGGAAGCAAAGCAUUUAAUAUAUAUAUUUGUAAUAGCAAUAAUGUAUUUAUUUGUUUGCCUUAGGUUCUCAAAAUAAUAAAUAAUAAAUAAUAAAUAAAGGUACACGCGCCCUGAAGGGAAAUUCCAACGAAGCUGAACGCGAAGCCAGCUGUUCCUAUAAAUACCAUUCCCUCAACGCUCUUUUUCCAUUCUCUUAACCAUUCAUUUUCUCUCUCUACCUCUACCUCUACCCUCUCUUCUCCAUUUUUAUGGCCUUCCUUUGGGACGUCUUCUGAUUCUUCCUCAAUCGCUAACCCUCCAUCUCUCUCUCACAAAGACAUCCCCUUUCUCCCUUCGUAUUCCUAUUCCGAUCGUUGCACGGAUUGUUUCUCCAUUAUUAUUAUUGUUAUUCCCUUUCCCUUGGCGUUUCUCCAUGGGGAAGUUGGUCGAGAUUCUUGAUGCAGGUGCUAGGAUUGUCGCCAGAUUUCAUUCCCAUUGCCCUCAGACUGGCCGGAUGUACUACCAUCCUCCCGCUAACUCCGACGACGGCCAUCACUCUGAAGAGUUUCGCCUCGGCGGCGGCGUCGGCGAUGGCGAUGCGGCGUCUCAUCAGAUUGUUCCUUGCGUUGCCGAGCCCACGGCUGCUGCUGCUGCUGCUGUCUUAGUCGUCACCGUUGAGAGUAAUGAGUUCAUUCUUUACUCUGUUUGAUUGUGAUUGUUUGAAUGGAGAAGUUGUGGAAUGUUUGUGUGAGAAUUUUCUCUCCCAUCGUGAUAUGAAAAAAUUUGGAAAAAAUAGUUAUAGAUUUGUCUCUUUUUAUAUGCUUAUUGUUGAUGACAUUAUUUUGUUCGAGACGAGCAUCGAUCGUAUUCUGAUUCUUUGGAUGAUUGAUGAUUGACGGAAUUUGAAAUUGGUGCUUUUACAAAUGUACUAACCCAGUGUUCUUGCUAUUGACUUAUGAAUUGAUUGAAAAAUUUCUGUCCCAAGAACUUAGGCGAGAAUUUGUGGGGGAAAAUGUUCUUUUCUUUUGGUAAUAGCUUGUAAAAGAAAAGAAUCUGAAGCUAAUCAAACUUUCCAUUUCUUUCCCUUUCUUAUUUGUUUGGUUGUUAUUAAUUUUUGACAUAGAAAUACAGUAAAACACGACUUUGCAUUCAAAGCUCCAAAUUACAUUCAUGAAUGGCACUUUGAACAAAGGAAAGAAAAGUUAACUUUUUGCAUUUUAAUUCCUUUGGAAUAUGGUUACCAUCUAUGUUCAGUUUUGUUUCCAUUUAACAUUAUUUUAUCUACAAAAUAAAAUUAUAUAAUCCAAAUAUUUGAUUUUGAUUAGUCAAAAUAGAACCUUUGACAAAAUAAAAUUUUAUAAAUGAUUAGUAUAUUUCUUUUGUUUUCAUAAUAAUUUUUGAGAAAAUAUAAUUUUAGGUUCAGUGUUAAUUUCUAUUAUUUAA
rnacentral:lncRNA from 1 species